GGAAGAUACUUCACCAUAGAUCUUACUCAGCGAGGUUGCAUACAUCGAAAUCAUAUUCAGAUCUUCACGCCGUCGAUGGCUAGUGUCCCAGUGGCAUAAGUGUCAUGGUAUUUUUCUAUGUAGUCGUUGAGCUUGAUCUUCAUGUAUCGUGCAUGUCUCUUGUCAUCCACUAGCUCUAACACCGGCUCAAGUUGUGUCUCUAGCUCCAACGUAUACACCAACACCAACGACAAGCGCUCUUUCUCCGCGUUGGUGACAACCCUAUGCACGAGGCUCUUAAAAAACCCAUUGCUCAAAAUCUACAUGCAUAAGGAUGAAAUAGAGAGAUAUGUAUUACAUCUUAUCUAGACAAUCCAAAAACAAGGUCAAACAAUUAUACAUCAAUACAUGUAGCUGCCUACAAACACAUUACCUCCAUUACGUCCCCUAUGUUUAUAACCAGUGCAUUCGAAAUGAUGGGCACGUUGUACCAGACGCCGUUUUUCUCAAGCUGGAGCCCCUCAACGUCGGUGAAGUUGACGGUGAUUAUUGAGCCGUCGGUAUGGGCCUUGAGGCCCAAGACGUGGUCUGGCCUUGGACACUGAGGGUAGUAGUUGAAUAUAGCUUGGGUGAUGGAGUUGUCGCGGAUCAUGUUUACGAGGUGUUCCUCUUGUAAAUUGAACAUCUUGGCCAUGUUUUGAAGGACAAUGUUGGUCGCCGCUUUGCACCUGACCGUGUACUCACACAGGACCUCUCUGCACAGUUAUGGAUGUCGUGUUAAGACAAUUGUACCAUAUACUAGUAAUCAACUGUCGGAGUAUCAGUUUGAAAAUGGAUGUCGCUUUAUGCAUGCAUGAUAGCAGAAUCUCCAGCAGCAUGUACCAUGUAUAGAUGGUAAAAACUUACCCACAACCUUUUGGAGAGCAGAGCAGAGCAAGGCAAUAAUGGAGGGUGGUGCCCGUUUUGUAAUUGCUGGCUCAUGGUCUGCUGCUACCUACCACGCCUUGCUGCUAGUACCUACAAAUAAUGGAGGCUACUUCUGGAGAGUAAUGAAGACCACUAAAAGCAUAGUUAAUAGUAUAACCAACUGCUGGCUAUAAGCAGUCUUAUAACCCAUCUUAUAGCUAGCUUGUACAAUAGUUAGGUGUAAAAGAGUACUAAUUUUAUCAUAUAUGGUCCACCUUUCAUUUUCACAAAACACCUAGGAGCACGUGCUAGAGCUGGCUCUUCAUGAAGAGCCCGUUUCCCUUCUCUCUCCUCUUCUCUCUCAUCCAACUUAGCAAAAUAUAGUAUUUUAAUCCUUACAGCCUGCUGACUGUACCUUAUUGUACUUGCUCUAAAGGUCCGACUCUGACUUGCUGCCUCUACAGUGUGUGAGCGUGAGUGACCAGAAACCGAGAAAUAUGGAAAACUGUUUUUUGAAAAAGGAGAUUAACCCCGGCCUAUGUAACAAUCGAUGUAUACAACCAUCUUUACAGCAACUUCGACGGGACGAUCUAAACGGACGCGUGCUUUGUCCGCUUUGUAGUAAUUAACCUAGUUAUAGUCUAAAACGUGCACGUGCAAACCGAGUAGGAUUAGUAUUGCAAACCGAGUAGGACUUGUAGUUGGCUAGGUUAGGUACUAUCUAUACCUACCUAAUAAUAAAGCAGCUAUUGCUUCCGUCGAAAAACCCACCGCGGCAUUUUUAUAAAAAGCCCCUGCUACUAUUAAAAGAAACAAUUAUUCUUAGUCUCGCUUGCAAAAUAUAUUUUUAUUUCCACGUACAAAAUAAUUGUUCGAUCCUGCACGCAACGAAACAAAUCUUAGUCGGACACGCUCGCGUUCGUGCGUAGCACAUGUACGCUGGCCUAUACUAGGCCAUGUACUGCGCCUGCUGUGCGGUUACUUUGCCUAUAUGGGCCUUCUCUUAUGGACAUAAAUAAGUAACCGAAGAGUCACGUUGGGUAUAUUUCUGAUAGCUUGGUGUAUCAAGCAUGCAUGCAUGUUUCUAAAAAGAAAUAAAAUCAAGCAUGCAUGCAUGACCAACCAAAGAAGAUGAAAUUGACUAUUUGUGAAAGAGGCCAAUUAUCUAUGAUGGGAUGCAUCGUAUACCAGUAAACUAAACUACGAACAAAAAGAUUGCUUCGAUGGCCUAGAUUAGUUCAUCUUGAUUUCUUCCACUCACGUACGAUAGUGUGCAUCUGGAUGUGUAGCCUAAAUAAACAUGUUUGCCUACUUAAGUGUGUUUGCAUUCAUUUGUGAUUGUCAGUUCAUUAAUAAUAUAAGUUCAUAAGACAUAAAUUUGAAUUGUUUGGAAUACAUGUACUCAAUAUUCUUUCAUGCUUUUAUUUCCUGAUUUGUUCAUGAAAUACACAUCGAGUUAGUGUAUACUCCCUCUGUAACUAAGCAUACAGAACAUAUUGAAGUUUUGCUCAAAGAGAGAAAGAGAGACCUUAGAACUGAACACAUUUGAACACAUUAUCGUUGUAUGAGUGUUGAGGCCACUGUCGUCAACACAAAUAUGAUUCCAUGUGAAACUAAAAGACGUGGGACUAUUAAGGUUUUGAGUCAUGGUUAUUGGGUUAAAAACGUGUGUUAUUUUUUCCGUUGCAACGCACGGGUUUUUUGCUAGUAUAAUCCUAUGUAUCCCUUGUAACAGAUCAGAUCAAUCAAAGCAAUAAACAAAACAUGUGCGACACGCACACGAUUUGGCAAACAACUCGCGUCAGGUGUUUUCUCCUCGCGUGUGUUCCGGCGACUUAGUACGUAGGUGUGUACGUACUUGUCCGGCUCGCCGAUCACGUUUGUCUCCAAGCCAAGAAUCGAUCCACGUCUGCGACUCCCACGGAAAGUGCUCGUUUACGAGCAGUGUGACGUAUAUCGGGAUCAAGUGCCAACAAUUGGUAUCUAGAGUCUCGACGAUCUACGAUCUACGAUGACGGACAGCGACGCUGAGUCGGUCAAGUCCGGUAAAGACGGUGCCAAGACGAACAUGAACAGCGACAAGGUGAAAAAUGACGGCAAGUCAGCAACCAGUGGUGAAGGGAUGGACGACGCCAACGUUCAGGCGCAUCGCAACAUCUUCUUCCAGUACUCUCUUAGGAAAGACAAACUGCUCUAGAAAAAGAGCUAGACAAAGACACUCUCCAACUUUCCCCUGGGAAGACUAGUAAUGUCACGUGAGAUUAUGCAAAACCCGUUUCUGUAUAUGGGCUUCGCAUUUUUUGGAACUGACAAUCCAUGCAGUUGUUAUAAGGGCGACACUUGAUUUUCCUGUCCUGGUUUUCUAAACGGAUCGAAAACCGGGUUAAUGUAAAACCCGUUUUUCUGCGGUGCGUUUAAGCUAACGCUGAGAAUAUAUAUACAUUCAGGCAACAAACACACAUUCGGGCUAACGUACAUACACAUGUCAGCUUCUAAUUGACUGAAAAAACGACUCAAAGCCAUUUGAAUUUUAGUCGAAUGUCAAAUAAACUCUUUGGAUCUAGUGUUGUACAGGAUUUAUCCCAAUAACCAUAUUUAUUGUAUUAAAGGGACUUGCCUGUGUGUCAGGGAUUGGGUUGUUAAUUUAGGCCUGCAAGGUUUAUCUGACUAAAAUUCUUUAAUUAUCUGGCAGUCAUCUGUUUGUUCCAAGUCCAGAGGGAUAGCUGACUCUAGAAUAGGACCUACAACCCAUUGAACCUUGGAAUUUUAGUAGUUUAGCAUCAUACCUGACCUAUUGCCCAAGCAGCUCUAACUCUAGUAUUAGAUUCACCGAGAGGAAGAAUACUGCUUUAGGUGAUUAGUUGGUCAUUAGCUACUUAUAUGCCAGAUAUUUUUAUUCUUUCUGUCAAAUCAGCAAAUGCAGAAUACCGUUAGUUAGAUAUGCAAUGAUAAUUUAACUGCACUUUGUAGCUUCGGCCUUUGGGCUUGUCAAAAGCAGAAAUUGGCUACUGUAGGAGUGCUUAUGCUAAAUUGCACGCUGCGACUGCAGAGCAACUAUAUCAGCUUAACCGAUCUUUCAGAACAUUGCUCAAGUUCUGAAUAUCUACAAUCCCUGGACUAACAAUAUGAUUGAUUUAAUUUCAUGUUCAGAAAGAGUGCAAAAUAGCAAAUGUGCAUGUGUAUGGGGCAUUACUGCUCUCUGGUCUCCAUGUCGAUGCAAUGAACCAAGGUUGUACUCCCUCCGUUCCUAAAUAUAAGACCUUUUAGAGAUUCCACUAUAAACUACAUACGGAUGUAUGUAGUCAUAUUUUAGGAUGUAGAUUCACUCAUUUUGCUCCGUAUCUAGUCUAUAAUAAAAUCUCUAAAAGGUCUUAUAUUAAGGAACGGAGGGAGUACAUGUUAAAAGAAAGAACAAUGGACAGACAGUGCGAAAGGCACUGCUGAAAAUACAGAACAACUAUAUACCAUGAUGGGUUUUUCUUUCAGUCUAGAACAGAAUGAUGAAGGUUCUUGUAGCGCUCUUGUCGGCUCAUGGCAGCUGGGCUGAUAUGUCUUCUGUUGUCACUGUCCUGCCUGUGCACCAGGCUAUACACUGAACAAGUGAAACAUGCUAAACUUGUUGAAAUUGGUAGUGGACUUUAGGCCCAUUAGAGAAUUUCAGAAAAAUCUUUAAGGGCCCAUGUAUGUGGUGGCAUGACAAGGUGGUGGGAAGUUUAGUCGUACCCCGCUAGUGGAGGAGAAGUUGGACCCCUUUAUAAGGAUCUCUCUUCCACAUGCUAUUGGAGAGUGAGAAGAGAAGGUGUCCUCGCGCACUCCUCCUCCGCCGCCCACCUCGCCACGCCUCGUCACGACGCACCGCAGGUUGCGGGAAUGAGCCGAGCCGAGCUCAUACCUACGCGUUUAUUUUUGCCGGUCAGAAACGGGGAAUACAUAACGGACACGGCACGAUCCGAGACGUCGGAUCGUGGGCUGUUACCGACUCGGACGUGGGUUCGGCCCACGUCUCUCCACCCAGCCGCCUUUAUAAGCAGGCUGUCGCCUACCCUAGCCGUCACGAGAAUCAGAUCACAUCUGCCUCACGCGUUCGUUCCUUUUACUGCUGCUGCCGCCGGCGACUCCGUCCCGUUUACCGCGUACACGGUCGACGGGAGAGCAGGCCUCCGAAACCCCGCCUCUCCGGUUCCUGUACGGGAGAGGGGCAAUUAGGUUUUUGGGGAGCGAUCACGCGACUGCUCUCCUCCGUCCGUCUGCUUCGUCUACGUCCGCGUCGCCCUCGUCAUCGUCAUGUCUUCACCAAGCGAAGCUGACCGUCUCGUCCGCGAGAAAGCCGAAGCCAAGAAGAAGGUGGCAGAGGAUGCUGCCGCCGCCACCGCUGCUGCUACGGCCAAUUGGCCGAUCGGAGGGUAUGAUAUAUUUAUCCCUCUCCUGUUUCUGUCUGCAAUAGUAGUACUGCCUAUAUGCGUAGAUGUUUCUGCUAUAUGCGUAGUACUUGCUAGUAUACUCCGUGAUCAGUAUGUCAUGAACCUAGUCAAUGCUAUGUUAGUAAUUAUUUCAUGGAUUAAUCUACUCGGAAAAUUGCCUAUUUACUCAACAAUCCAAAAACCUAAUAUGUGUAGGAAUUUUUUGAGUAAUGGUUUUGUUGUUGCACUGAAACCGGAUAAGUUUACCGGUACUUUUUUCAAGCGUUGGCAAACGAGAACCACCUUAUGACUCACGGCUAUGAAUGUGUUCUGGGUAGCCGGUGUCACUCCUACGGAAACUAUCACUCCUGAACAGGAGAAGAUGUUUAAGGAGGCCACCCUCCUAUUCCUUGGAGUAGUCAUUAGCGUGAUCGGAGAUAAGUUGGUUGAUGCAUAUUUACAUAUGCAUGUUGCCAAGGACUUGUGGGAGGCGCUCGAAUCUAAAUUCGGGGCCACCGAUGCUGGGAGUGAGAUGUAUGUUAUGGAGCAGUUCCACGAUUACAAGAUGGUUGACAACCGUUCUGUAUUGGAACAGGCUCAUGAGAUAAUAUGCAUAGCUAAAGAACUUGAGGUUCUUAAGUGCAAUUUGCCGGGCAAGUUUGUCGCGGGCUGUAUAAUUGCUAAGCUCCCUACUUCCUGGAGGAACUUUGCUACUACUCUGAAACAUCAGAGGCGUGAGUUCUCAGUAGAGGACAUCAUCGGCCAUCUGAGUGUUGAGUAGAACUCGAGAGCAAAGGACUCCAAUGGAAAAGCGGUGGAAAGCUCUUCUGCUGCCAAUAUGGUACAUCAGAGGAACCUCAAUUCCCACAAGCCCAAGGGAAAGAAUUCUGUCCAACAGAAUACCAACUUCAAGAAGAAGGGAAAGAAGCCCUUCAAGAAGAAUAAGAAGGGAGAUGGCUGCUAUACUUGUGGUUCAGAGGAACAUUGGGCGAACAAGUGCCCAAACAAGUACAAGAAGCCGGCGCAGGACUCCAAGUCUGCCAAUAUGAUUGUGGGCAACAAUGAAAGUGCUGCAUCUGGGUACGAUAAUUUACUUGCUGUAUUUACAGUUUGUCAGUCCACCGAUUGGUGGGUGGACACGGGUGCAAAUAUUCAUGUGUCCGUAUUGAUGGGGAAUGGCGCGAGUGCUUCUGUUCUUGGUGUUGGCACGGUCGAUCUGAAGUUUACUUCAGGAAGGAUCGUGCAGCUGAAGAACGUGCAGCAUGUCCCCGCCAUCAAGAAGAAUCUCGUUAGUGGCUCCCUUCUGUGUAGAGAAGGGUUUAAGUUGGUAUUCGAGUCUAAUAAAGUAUUAGUUACGAAAUAUGGACUUUUCGUUGGAAAAGGUUAUGAAUGCGGAGGUCUGUUCCGCCUUUCUCUUGCAGAUUUUUGUAAUAAAGUCGUGAACAAUAUUCAUUUGAGUGUUAAUGAAUCUGAAGUUUGGCAUUCACGUCUUUGUCACAUAAGUUUCGGUGUUAUGUCGCGGCUAGCAAAACUGAAUUUAAUCCCAACUUUCACUUUAGCCAAAGGUUCUAAGUGUCAUUCGUGUGUGCAAGCAAAGCAACCUCGCAAGCCUCACAAGGCUACAGAGGAGAGACACUUGGCACCAUUAGAACUCAUACAUUCUGAUCUUUGUGAGAUGAAUGGUGUGUUGACUAAAGGUGGAAAGAAAUAUUUCAUGACAUUGAUAGAUGAUUCCACUAGAUAUUGCUAUGUGUAUCUGUUAAAUACUAAAGAUGAGGCUCUACACUACUUUAAAAUCUAUAAGGCAGAAGUUGAGAAUCAACUUGAAAAGAAAAUUAAACGAGUCCGGUCUGAUCGUGGUGGAGAGUACUUCUCAAACGAAUUUGAUUCAUUUUGUGUGGAACAUGACAUUAUUCAUGAGAGGACGCCUCCCUAUUCACCCCAGUCAAAUGGGGUUGCCGAGCGGAAAAACCGUACUCUAACUGAUUUGGUUAACGCCAUGUUAGAUACAUCGGGUUUAUCCAAGGCAUGGUGGGGGGAGGCUAUAUUGACUGCGUGUCAUGUCCUGAAUAAAGUUCCUACAAAAGAUAAUGAGGUCACUCCCUACGAGGAGUGGUCGAAGAGAAGGACGACGCUCUCGUACUUACGUACUUGGGGCUGCUUGGCGAAAGUCAAUGUACCGAUCCCCAAGAAGCGUAAGCUUGGACCAAAGACUGUGGACCGCGUUAAUUUGGGAUACGCUAAGAAUAGCGUAGGCUAUAGAUUUCUAGUAGUGAAAUCUGAGGUACCUGACGUGAAGGUCGGUACAAUAAUGGAGUCGAGGGAUGCUACAUUCUUUGAGGAUAUAUUUCCCAUGAGAGAUAUGCAAAGCACUUCUAGACAGGAAUAUGAGAUAACUCCUGAGCCUGCCAUUCCUAUGGAAUAUUAUGAACAAACACAUGAUGAUAAUCCCGAGGAGGAUAACGAGGAAACCCUUGGUAGGGGCAAGAGACAAAGGACCGCAAAGACCUUUGGUAGUGAUUUCUUCGUAUACCUCGUGGAUGAUAAUCCCACUUCUAUUUCAGAAGCGUAUGCUUCUCCAGAUGCUGAUUACUGGAAAGCUGCGGUCCGUAGCGAGAUGGAUUCCAUCAUGGCUAACGGGACAUGGGAAAUCACUGAUCGUCCCUAUGGUUGAAAACCAUUGGGAUGCAAGUGGGUGUUCAAAAGAAGCUUAGGCCCGAUGGAACGAUUGAAAAGUACAAGGCUAGGCUUGUGGCCAAGGGCUAUGCCCAGAAAGAAGAAGAAGAUUUCUUUGAUACUUACUCACCUGUGGCUAGACUGAUCACCAUUCGAGUACUACUCUCAUUGGCGGCCUCUCAUGGUCUUCUCGUUCAUCAAAUGGACGUUAAGACGGCUUUCCUGAAUGGAGAGUGAUGGGGUUAUAGUCCUAGGGUAGGGUCAUAGGCCUGCCCUAUAAGUCCUACCCAAGGACUAUCCUUCAUAAGGGAUAAGGCCCUUAGUCAGUUCCGACUGAAUUAAGGACUUCCCAUCAUCUAGUCGGUGACGAAUCCUCCAUCAUCCAGUCGGAUAUGAGCAUUCAGAGUGUAUCAAAUUAACCGACUGGAUUCCACUCUGUGCAUCGUAACCCCCUGGAGGGAAACGGUCAUACGUUUCCAUGUGCCUUUAUUAGCAUUUAAGACAUACGUUACCUGUAACGUAGGCAUUUAUUCGCCACUACUCCACUCCUGUGCACCGAACCGUUGUGAAGGGCAGCGCACUCUAUAUAAGCCACCCUUCCCCACUGGUGCAAGGGUUAGCAAUUCACUGUAAUCCAUAUUCCACUCGACAACAAGCUCCCAGAGCACUGAGACGUAGGGCUAUUACCUCCACCGUAGAGGGGCCUGAACUCCUACAACCUCGCCGUAGCUAAGGCUCUGCCCAUCCUUUCGUACCCUACACAUCUACUGUCAGACUUAUACCCACGACAGCUGGCGCCCACCUUGGGGCAGGCGUCUAAGCGACUUCCGGCGAGUUUGCGACUACAUCUUUUCGUCAUGUCAUCCGGUGGAGAUUUGAGCAUGGGUCACGAGAUCCUCUUCGGCGCUCUCUCCUUCAUCGUCGACGAUUCGGCAUGGCUUCGGGACGCCCCUCUCGAUGUCGAGGCGCUCCCCAUCGCGGGGCUACGCACUUCCGUACCGGCGCCCGCGGUAUUCUUCUUCUCCAGCAGUCGGCUCCGGUGUCGACCUACACCGCCGUCACGCGCCGCAACAAGCGGUCCCGCCGUCCGUGGCUCUAGCGUUGGGUGCAACACGCCCAGGCGCGCCAGAACGCGUCUUCACAAGUGGCGGUCCUAGUGUCGGUUGUGGUUGCCCUGCCGUCCCAGCGCUCGGACUCGGUUCCGAUUGAGUUUCCUUCCGAGUACUUGGGUCGCGGGCCUACAGCAGAAGUGCACAUGGCCAACUCCCAUGAAAGUCCCCGCCAAACUGGCCGGAACGAGCACGAGAUCGGUGAAACAUCCGGCGCUCGCCGUCCGCCUCGCCGUUCUGCCAGUCGGCACACUCGGCGGAGCAACGUGGAGGUGUUCCGCACACCCAUCCUCAACCUGGCUGCCGCUGCCAAGAUAGCCGAUUCCCUUCAGCCGACUGAUUCAGAGGCUGGCAGGGGGAUCGAGCAAAUCCGCGCCCUACUGCACACGGCGCAGCAACAAAAUUCGGCGGUCUCCGAGUCGCACAACAGGAUCCACAAUAGUUUUGUUCAUGCGAACACGCAUCGGUCAGUUCACAACCCUGGUUCUCAUCAGCGACACAGGGGAGGCAGCCGUUCCAUAAAUCCCGAAGAUCGUCGCCGUUCACGCACCCCUCCGCGGGGUGGGCCCUACGGGCCCCGACAUCAUGAUGAUCGACAUUCAGUCGGUGACACUUACGAUCCUAGGCCUGACACGAGAGGGCAUAUCGCCCAGCGGAGGGUCGACAGGGGCCGAGCCCACCGCGAUGGUCACGAUAUGGACCGUCCGAGUGGAAGCAGGACCAUCGUUUCUGGUCCCGAGUGUUUCAGUCGAGCCAUCCGUUCGGCUGACAUCCCUCCCAACUUCCGAUUGGCGACGGGGAUCAGCAAGUUUACAGGAGAAUCCAAGCCAGAAACGUGGCUGGACGACUACCAAGUGGUAGUCCAGAUCGGAGGAGGGGACGACCACAUCGCCAUGAAGCAUCUCCCUCUGAUGCUCGAUGGCUCGACACGAGCGUGGCUGAACCAGUUGGCCCCCUCAAGCAUCUACAGCUGGGCAGAUCUGGCCCGAGUCUUCAUCAGGACCUUCGAAGGGACGUGCAAACGCCCUGCUGGCCUCGUGGAGCUCCAACAUUGUGUCCAGAAGCAGAAUGAGCCCCUGCGCGAUUUCAUUCAGCGUUGGACGACCCUCUACCACACGGUGGAGAACGUCACAGAGCACCAAGCAGUCUGCGCCUUCAAGGCAGGCGUGCGGUACAGAGAUUUGUACCUGAAGUUCGGUCGAACAGGCGACAUCUCCAUGAGCAAGAUGAUGGAGAUAGCGGCACGCUAUGCAAACAGUGAAGAAGAGGACCGCAUCCGUAGCGGCAAGCACAAAGCAGUGGCCGAUGGGGAUGGGAAUAACACUUGGAAGCAGAAGCAGAAAGCUCCGUCCACUCCGCAGGCAGAAGCCGCAACUGUUACCAAUGCCAAGUUCAAAGGCAAAGGGAAGGCUCAGUUCACCCCAAGAAGAAGCAGUUCAGUAACCCCAUCCUGGACCAGCCAUGCCCGAUUCACACGAAGAUGGAUGAAGAGGGCAACACCAUAUAUCCGAAGCAUACCGCUCGGCAAUGUCGCCUCCUGAUCUAGGGGUUUGGCGAAGGGCAACCGAGUGAAAAGGGCAAUGAACAGGAUGAGGAGGACAAGGAGGAUCCGUUCCUCCAAGUCCAUGCAACACUUAUGAUUUUUGCUGAUGUUGAGAGCAAGAGUCGACUGAAGCUGGUGAACAGGGAGGUGAACAUGGCCACGCCUACCAACCCCAAGUUCUUCAAAUGGUCUCAGACUGCGAUCACCUUUGACCAGUCGGAUCAUCCAGCACACGUACACACCCCAGGGAGACAGGCUCUGGUCGUCGACCCGGUGGUAGAAGGAGUCCGACCGCGGAAAGUCCUCAUGGACAGCGGCAGUGGCUUGAACAUCAUGUACGCCGACACUCUCAAGGGGAUGGGCAUUCCGAUGUCCAAACUCAGCGAGAGCAGCAUGCAGUUCCAUGGAGUCGUCCCUGGACGAAAGGCCAAGUCACUCGGCCAGAUCGCGUUGGACGUCGUUUUCGGCUCCGACAAGAACUUGCGCAAGGAAAAGCUGACGUUCGAGGUGGUGGACUUCCAGAGCGCGUACCACGCAAUUCUGGGCCGCCCGGCGUAUGCGUGUUUCAUGGCCCGUCCAUGUUACGUGUACCUGAAGCUGAAGAUGCCAGGCCCGAAAGGUGUGAUCACUAUCACAUGCAAUCGAUAGUGAGCCGAGGAGUGUCUACAGCAGGGAUCAAGGAUCGCCGAUCAGCAGAUGGCUGUCUUCGAGCUUGACGAAUACAAGAAAACAGUCGACCCCGCUGACUUGAUGCGUGCGAAGAAGCCAGCUUCGGAGUCCGCAUUCCAGUCGGCGGGAGAGACGAAGAAGGUCAGCAUCCACCCGACGGACGACACCGCUGCCCCAACGAACAUCUCCACCACCCUCGAUCCUAAAUAGGAAGCCGAGCUCAUCCAAUUCCUUCGUGAGAACUGGGAUAUCUUCGCAUGGAAGCCCUCUGACAUGCCAGGUGUACCCAGGGAGUUGGCUGAGCACCGACUGUAUGUGGAUCCCGCCGCUCGGCCUGUUCGAGAACGCCUGCGUUGGUCCGCCGUGCACAAGAGGAAGGCAAUCGGAGAAGAGGUGGCCAAGCUUUUGGCAGCCAACUUCAUUCGCGAGGUACACCACUCCGAGUGGCUCGCCAAUGUUGUCAUGGUGCCCAAGAAGGACAAGUCGCUCCGAAUGUGCAUCGACUUCAAGCAUCUCAAUAAGGUCUGCCCGAAAGACCAUUUUCCGCUCCCCGCAUCGAUCAAAUUGUCGAUUCGACUGCGGGUUGCAAGCGUUUGUCAUUUCUUGAUGCCUACUCGGGCUAUCAUCAGAUCCGUCUGUAUGGCCCCGAUGAAUUAAAAACCGCCUUCAUCACCCCAUUCGGGUGCUUCUACUACAUCACUAUGCCAUUUGGUUUGAAGAAUGCAGGAGCAACCUUUAUGCGCAUGAUCCAAAAAUGCCUCCUCGACCAGAUCGGUUGGAAUGUGGAGGCGUAUAUGGAUGAUAUCGUAGUCAAGUCACGCAAAGGUUCCGACCUGCUGACUGACUUGGCAGAAACAUUCGCCAACCUUCGUAGGUACGAUAUCAAGCUCAACCCAGCCAAGUGCUCAUUCGGUGUUCCCAGCGGAAAGUUACUCGGUUUCUUCGUUUCCGAACGAGGGAUCGACGUCAACCCCGAAAAGAUCGAGACCAUCGUCCGAAUGGAGCGGCCGGUCAGAAUACACGAUGUUCAAAGGCUCACAGGUUGGCUAGUGGCUUUGAGCAGGUUUAUCAGUCGACUCGGCGAGAAGGCACUUCUCUGUACCAACUCAUGAAAAAUCAGAUACUUUCGAGUGGACAGACGAAGCCCAAGUCGCAUUCGAUGACCUCAAAGUCCUACUUUCCACCCAGCCGGUUCUUACUGCUCCGCCCAGUAAAGAGCCCCUUCUUCUGUACAUCGCGGCUACAAAUCAAGUCGUCAGCACUGUUCUCACAGUCGAACGAGAAGAAGAAGGCAAAGCAUACAAAGUUCAGCGGCCAGUGUAUUACGUCUCCGAAGUCCUGACUCCUUCCAAGCAGAGGUAUCCCCACUAUCAAAAACUUAUCUACGGGAUUUACAUGACUGCGAAGAAGGUGGCUCAUUAUUUCCAAGACCACUCGGUGUCCGUCGUUUCUGAUGCUCCGUUGUCGGAAAUCCUCCACAAUCGGGACGCAUCGGGCCGAGUGGCGAAGUGGGCAAUGGAGAUGUUGUACUGCGACAUCAAGUUCGAGGCCAAGAAAGGUAUUAAGUCUCAAGCUCUGGCUGACUUCAUAACAGAAUGGGUAGAACAACAGCAACCGACCCACAUCUACUCGGCUCAUUGGACAAUGUUCUUUGAUGGGUCCAAGAUGUUGAAUGGCUCCGGCGCUGGCGUUGUGAUCAUAUCGCCAAAGGGUGACAAACUCAAAUAUGUGUUGCAGAUACACUUUGAUUCCUCCAACAACGAGGCUGAGUAUGAAGCUCUCCUUUACGGACUGCACAUGGCCAUCGCACUCGGCGUCCGUCGCCUGAUGGUCUAUCGCGAUUCGGAUUUGGUGGUUAAUCAAGUGAUGAAGGAGUGGGACGUCAGGAACCCCACCAUGACCACAUACUGCAAUGCAGUGAGGAAGCUUGAGAAAAGUUCGAAGGUCUAGAACUCCACCAUGUUCCGCGACUGAAGAACCAGGCAGCUGAUGAGUUGGCAAAACUCGGAUCCACUCGGGGACCAGUCCCGAGUGACGUCUGCCUCGAGCACCUCCACCUUCCCUCAGUUAAAGAAGAUCUGUUCACAGAGGAACCAGUACAACCAAAGAGCUCAACAGAUCCGACUGAAGUCGACGUACCUGCUGUGGUUGAUUUGAUCAUGGAGAUUCUUGCUGUCAUCCCCGAUUGGACUGUGCCGAUCAUUGCAUAUAUCCUGAGGCAAGAAUUACUAGAAGACAAAGUCCAAGCCAGAUAGAUCGUCCGUAGGUCAAAGUCGUUCACUGUCAUCGACGGCCAGUUGUACAAGGAAAGCGUUUCAGGCGUUCCUCAACGAUGCAUCUCCCCAGAGGAGGGACAGUUAAUCCUGGAGGAAAUUCACUCGGGAACCUGCGGUCAUCACGCCUUUUCAAGAGCAAUCGUCGCCAAAGCAUUCAGAGCUGGCUUCUUCUGGCUGCAGGCAAAUGAAAUGGCGAAAGAUAUGGUCGACCGAUGUGAAGGCUGUCAGUUCUACUCUAACAAGUCCCACAAGCCAACAUCUGCGUUGAAGACAAUCCCUCUUGUUUGGCCGUUUGUGGUAUGCGGAUUGGAUACAGUCGAUCCAUUCAGGACAGGCCAAGGGGGAUUCACACAUCUGUUGGUGGCAGUCGACAAGUUCACAAAGUGGAUCGAAGCCAAGCCCAUCAAGAAGCUCGACGCCCUAACAACCAUCAAGUUUGUCAGGGACAUCAUCUCCAGAUUCGGGGUACCUCACAGCAUAAUCACUGACAACGGAACAAACUUUGACUAGGACAGAUUCAAAGGUUUCUGUACAAGCCAAGGUAUCCGAGUGGAUUUUGCAUCUCUGGCGCAUCCCCAAACAAACGGGCAAGCAGAGCGGGCAAAUGGACUUAUUCUGCAAGGUUUGAAGCCUCGACUCCUGCGAGAGGUGGGACAUGCCGCUCGCGCAUGGGUCACCGAGCUACCUUCGGUGCUUUGGGGUCUCCGCACAACCCCAAAUAGAUCUACAGGGCGAUCCCCGUUCUUCCUCGUUUACGGAGCAGAGGCAGUCCUUCCGAGUGACUUGCUUCACAAUGCUCCACGGGUUGAACUCUUCUCCGAAGCUGAAGCAGAACAAGCAAGGCAAGACGGAGUGGAUCUUCUAGAGGAGGAGCGCGAGAUGGCACUGACUCACUCAACCAUUUAUCAACAAGAUCUGCGGCGUUUUCACGCGCGACACGUCUGGAGUCGUACAUCCCAAGCAGGUGACCUGGUGCUCCGAGUGGAUCAGCAGAGACCUCACAAGUUGGCUCCCGCCUGGGAAGGACCCUUCAUCAUCUCCAAGGUGCUGAACAACAGUGCAUACCGACUCUACAACAUCGACAGGGAAACGGACGAGCCGCGAGCAUGGAACGAAGAUCUUCUGAAGCGCUUCUACACGUGACCGUCGACUGAAGCAAUGUAAAGAACAAGUAUUGGUGAAAUAAUACAAAGCAGAUUGAGUUUUUGCAGAUUCGAAAUUCUUCCGCGGUCGCAGACUCCAGUCUCAAAAAAACUUAGCUGCGAUCACGAAUCGCCUAAGUAUUAACUUUCUCUGAGUGUGCACUUAACAUCGCACUCGGGGACUUAGCUGCGAUCCAGAAUCGCCUAAGUACUAACUUUCUCCGAGUGUGCACUUAAUGUCGCACUCGGGGACUUAGCUGCGAUCCAGAAUCGCCUAAGUACUAACUUUCUUUGAGUGUGCACUUAACGUCGCACUCGGGUCGCUAGCUGCGAUCCAGAAUCGCCUNNNNNNNNNNNNNNNNNNNNNNNNNNNNNNNNNNNNNNNNNNNNNNNNNNNNNNNNNNNNNNNNNNNNNNNNNNNNNNNNNNNNNNNNNNNNNNNNNNNNUUCUACAGGCUCAAACUAGUUUGAGGGUCGGACCUCUAAAAUAUUUACGGGUUUAAGGGUUUAAGAGUUCUAGUCUACGCCGUUUUUCGGACGAAAACCGUAAAAAACAGUUAUUUUAAGGGUUUGGGGUUUGAGGGUUCUACUAGAGAUGCUCUUACGUCUGUUGAUCUAUGAAGCAGACAGCAUCUAGGCUUCCGAGGAAGACUUUGGAAUAUACUCUCUGUUUUCAUUUUGAGGGGGUCUUUGGAAUAUACGCGUGCCUGGUGAAGCACCUCACAGCUUGAUCUUGACGGCUAUGAGCCAAGAGGUUCAACACCUGAGACCAGCCGGGGUUACCGUCCGUUUUAUAACUCCGUUCUUCUCGGAGAAAAACCGGUGAGAUAGUCUGGUCAAUCCAAAACUGAACAACCCUUAUUUAGGAAGUUAAAACAUCUGCAGGGCAGUAAAGAGAAACCAAAAGACGGCAGCAUCUUUUGCAGACAAUGUCAGACAUUGUAACUGUAGAUGAUAUCGAGUGCCAACUGUGGAUCUGCAAUAAUUUGUAAGUUGCAUUUCAGAGCCUUCAUCUGAUAUUCACCCUAGACAGGGUCAGUUAAGCUCAGCACGUUCACCUGUUCAGUGUAUAGUGCAAAUGCACAGUGACGACUCAAGACCUGUAUUUUCAACAGUGCCUUUUGCACUGGCUGUUGAUUGUUCUUUUAAUAUGUACUACAAUCUUGCUUCACUGCGUCGACAAGGAAACCUGAGAGCAGUAAUGCCCCAUACACAUGUGCAAAUUUGCUAUUUUGCACGCUUUCUAAACAGGAAAAUGAAACACUCAUUUUCGUUAGUCUAAUGACUGUAGAUGUCAGAACUUGAGGCAAUGUCCUGAAAGAUCAGUUAAGGUGAUUAGGCUGGUAUGAUCGCUCACCGGUCAUAUACUGCAACUCAACAAAAACACUCCUACAGCAGCCAAUUUCUGCCCUUUGACAAACCUGGAGCCACAAACUACAGUUGAAUUAUCAUUGCAUAUGUAACUAAUGGUAAAGGGUGGUUGAUUAUAUGGAAAGAAAAAAGCCCAUCUGGCAUAUGACCAAUUAAUCAUCAAAAAUAAAUAUUCUUCCUCUCAGUGAAUCUCAUACUAAGGUUAGAUUUGCUCAGGAUUAUGUAGCCACAGGUCAGGAAAGAUGCUAAACUACUACAAUUCCUGGUUGCUUGGGUUGCAUGUCCUAUUCUUGGGUCAGCUAUCCCUUCAGACUUGGAACAAACAGCAUGACCGGGAGAUACUUAAACAGUCUAUAUCUAAUAAUAAAGCGGCUAUUGCUUUCGUCGGAAAACCCACCACGGCAUUUUUAUAAAAAAGCCCUUGUAAUUUUGUUAUUCAACCCGUGCUCCAUCAUUUAUCUGCAACGCAAAAGGAAAAACGAUUCGCUGCAAAAAUUAUACCCGUACGCAUCGCCUCCUCCCGUCGAUCCUGGGCCACCCUGGCAUGUGCCUAGGCCGCCGCCACAUCACUCGCCGCCGCGGCCGACCUCAACCCCACCUCUGCCGAUCUCAACCCACCCGCCUCCGCGGUCGUACCUCUCCCUACUCACUGCCCCUGUUGCGGCGCUCGAGCGCAUCGCGUCGACCCUGCUCCACCCUAGGCUGUGCCCAGGCCGCUGCCACACCACUCGUCGCCGCGGCCGACCUCAACCACCACUGUUGUCGAUCUCAACCCACCCGCCUCCACGGCCGUACCUCUGCCCGCUUGCUGCCCCGUUUCGACGCUCGAGCACAACUUCUGGAUCAAAUCAACGCGACAGCUACAGUGACUGGGGAUGAUGCGUCUGCUCGAUGCAGAACGGCGGCGGCGCGCGGAUAAGACGCGGCGGAGCAAAUUACUUGCAGGUGGAGGCGGGCCUCCAUGACUCACACGGGGAACUCCGAGGUUAUGGCGCGGCAACAACGACUCCUUAUGGCCACAUAGAGGCGCCUAACCCUGGCUCUCCUCUUCGUAUCCUCUCCUCCGGCAGGAACUCAUCAUCUCGUGAGAUCCCCUCCCCAUGCCUCCAACCGUGUGCCAAGCACCGACAAGAAAAUUUGUUUUAUGGUGAUUUAUUUACUGAUGAAUGAAUGUAUUGAAUGUAAGAUUGUAUUGUUGUAGAGACAGAGAAUGAAACACCACCUUCAGUUUGUCAUCUGAUCCCACAUUCUCUACCCCAUGAAUGAAAUAAGAUAACAGUCAAUUGAUCAAUUCAGGUAGCCUCUUUGUUUUGCUUUGCUUGUCCCGCUCAAUUUCUCAUCAUGAUAAAAUUAACAAUGGACGGGUUGAUUUCUCAACAAAAUAGGAUAGGACUGACUACAUUAGUUAGUUAGCUUAUUAUUUUAAUAAAUCAAACUGAUUAUAAAAAGACUAAAAGCGUGUGGUAUUUUUUCUCCCGUUGCAACGCACGGACCCUUUUGCUAGUAUUAGUCAAAUAAACCUAACAGAACCACAGCUUAUUCAAGUACCUAGGUUAACAAGCACGCACAUAGCAAAUGCAAGCAUAGUAAAUACAAUCGCACGAGAAGGCCAAAUGAAAACUGACAAGCAUUCUCUGAUGAUAUAUACAAGACAAUAUUAUUAUUACUACUAGAGGAUCGAACACUUAUUAUUUAGGAGGGCUGACAAUCUCGAGUGCAAGCUAACAGGAAGUCAGUUCAGAACUUGGAUCAAACUGCAUCGAAUUGGGACGUGUUCCAUGCUUUAAAAAAAGCAGUACAAGAACUUUGGAAACAGAUCCUGUCAACAACACAAAAAUAAAUAAAUCCAAAUAUCGUACGCCAUCACUUUCAGAAUUAAAACAUCUGCGCGGCGGCAGUAAAUAGUUGACAUAUAAUCUAAAAAUAGUGGAUGACAUCAUGCACCAACCAAUUGCACUUCAGAGACUUCACACAGAGUCAGUUUUGUUGAGUAAAUAGGCAAUUUUCCGAGUAGAUUAAUACAUGAAAUAAUUACUAACAUGACAUUGACUAGGUUCAUGACAUACUGAUCAGGGAGUAUACUAGCAAGUACUACGCAUAUAGCAGAAACAUCUACGCAUAUAGGCAGUACUAUUAUUGCAGACAAAAACAGGAGAGGGAUAAACAUAUCAUACCCUCCGAUCGGCCAAUUGGCCGUAGCAGCAGCGGUGGCGGCGGCAGCAUCCUCUGCCGCCUUCUUCUCGACUUCGGCCUUCUCGCGGACGAGACGGUCAGCUUCGCUUGGUGAAGACAUGACGAUGACGAGGGCGACGCGGACGUAGACGAAGCAGACGGACGGAGGCGAGCAGUCGCGUGAUCGCUCCCCAAAAACCUAAUCNNNNNNNNNNNNNNNNNNNNNNNNNNNNNNNNNNNNNNNNNNNNNNNNNNNNNNNNNNNNNNNNNNNNNNNNNNNNNNNNNNNNNNNNNNNNNNNNNNNNGGGUGACGGGGAGCAUAGGCCKRKSGRSCAGCAGGGGACGACGCUAGGGCCGACGGGGACGAAGUGGUCGGGACGGCGGGCGGGGUGGUGGCCGGCGGUGUGUGUAGGGUCGGGAGAGAUGGCGGUGGAGGAAGGAUCCGGCGGAGUUGAGAGUCCCUCCGGUCUCUCGUCGCUAGUCCUCCCGGUCCUUUUGUUGGGGAACGUCGCAUGGGAAACAAAAUUUUCCUACGUGCACGAAGACCUAUCAUGGUGAUGUCCAUCUACGAGAGGGGAUGUGUGAUCUACGUACCCUUGUAGACCGUACAGCAGAAGCGUUAGUGAACGCGGUUGAUGUAGUGGAACGUCCUCACGUCCCUCGAUCCGCCCCGCGGACUAUCCCGCGAUCAGUCCCACGAUCUAGUGCCAAACAGACGGCACCUCCGCGUUCAGCACACGUAUAGCUCGACGAUGAUCUCGGCCUUCUUGAUCCAUCAAGAGAGACGGAGAGGUAGAAGAGUUCUCCGGCAGCGUGACGGCGCUCCGGAGGUUGGUGAUGAUCUCGUCUCAGCAGGGCUCCGCCCGAGCUCCGCAAAAACGCGAUCUAGAGGUAAAACCGUGGAGAUAUGUGGUCGGGCUGCCGUGGCAAAGUUGUCUCAAAUCAGCCCUAAAACCUCCGUAUAUAUAGGGGGAAGAGGGGGAGCCUUGCCUUGGGGUCCAAGGACCCCUAAGGGCUUCGGCCGAGCCAAGGGGGAAGGUCUCCCUCCCCAAACCGAGUCCUACUUGGUUUGGAAGGUGGAGUCCUUCUUCCCUUUCCCACCUCCUCCUUUCUUUUUUCUCUUUCUUUUUUCUUCCAAUGCGCAUAGGGCUCUUUUGGGCUGUCCCACCAGCCCACUAAGGGCUGGUGCGCCACCCUCAAUGCCUAUGGGCUUCCCCGGGGUGGGUUGCCCCCCCCCGGUGAACCCCCGGUGAAGUGGCUGUGGUGUUCCAGGCGGUGUCAAUUGUGAAACAAUUCCACAUUGUCUUAAGUGAGCACCAAACUCGAAACUCAGAUAUUCACCCCCACGAUCAGACCGUAGGAACUUGAUCUUCUUGUUACGAUGAUUUUCAACUUCACUCUGAAAUUGCUUGAACUUUUCAAAUGUUUCAGACUCGUGCUUCAUCAAGUAGACAUAACCAUAUCUACUCAAAUCGUCAGUGAAGGUGAGAACAUAACGAUAUCCGCCGCGUGCCUCCAUGCUCAUCGGACCACACACAUCGGUAUGUAUGAUUUCCAACAAGUCACUUGCACGCUCCAUUGUUCCGGAGAACGGAGUUUUAGUCAUCUUGCCCAUGAGGCAUGGUUCGCACGUGUCAAGUGAAUCAAAGUCAAGUGACUCCAAAAGUCCAUCGGCAUGGAGUUUCUUCAUGCGCUUUACACCAAUAUGACCUAAGCGGCAGUGCCACAAAAAUAUGGCGCUAUCAUUGUUAACUCUAACUCUUUUGGUCUCAAUGUUAUGUGUGUGUGUGUAUCACUAUCAAGAUUCAAUAUGGGCAAUCCUCUCACAUUGGGUGCAUGACCAUAAAAGAUGUUACUCAUAGAAAUAGAACAACCAUUAUUCUCUGACUUAAAAGAGUAACCGUCUCGCAAUAAACAAGAUCCAAAUAUAAUGUUCAUGCUCAACGCAGGCACUAAAUAACAAUGAUUCAAGUUCAUAACUAAUCCUGAUGGUAACUGAAGUGAAACUGUGCCGACGGCGAUUGCAUCAACCUUGGAACCAUUUCCUACGCGCAUCGUCACUUCAUCUUUCGCCAGCCUUCGUCUAUUCCGCAAUUCCUGUUUCGAGUUGCAGAUAUGAGCAACAGAACCGGUAUCGAAUACCCAUGCACUACUACGAGAGCCGGUUAAGUACACAUCAAUAACAUGUAUAUCAAAUAUACCUGAUUUUUCUUUGGCCGCCUUCUUUUCAGCCAGAUACUUGGGGCAAUUGCGCUUCCAGUGACCCAUACCCUUGCAAUAGUAACACUCUGUUUCAGGCUUAGGUCCAGCUUUGGGUUUCUUCGUCGGAUUGGCAACAGGCUUGCCGCUCUUCUUCGAAUUACCCUUCUUGCCUUUGCCGUUUCUCUUGAAACUAGUGGUCUUAUUCACCAUCAACACUUGAUGCUCUUUACGGAGUUCAGACUAUGCGACUUUCAGCAUCGCAAACAACUCGCCGGGAGACUUGUUCAUCCCUUGCAUGUUGUAGUUCAACACAAAGCCUUUAUAGCUUGGCGGCAGGGAUUGAAGGAUUCUGUCAGUGAUAGCUUCUUGCGGGAGUUCAAUGCCCAGCUCAGCUAGACGGUUUGAGUACCCAGACAUUUUGAGCACAUGUUCACUGACAGACGAAUUCUCCUCCAUCUUGCAAGCAUAGAAUUUAUCGGAGGUCUCAUACCUCUCGAUCCGGGCGUUCUUCUGAAAGAUAAACUUCAACUCUUGGAACAUCUCAAAUGCUGCAUGAUGCUCAAAGCGACGUUGAAGUCCCGGUUCUAAGCCAUACAAGACUGCACAUUGAACUACUGAGUAGUCCUCCUUACGUGCUAACCAAGCGUUCUUAACAUCCUGAUCAGCCGUAGCGGGUGGUUCAUCUCCUAGCGCAGCAUUAAGGACAUAAUCCUUCUUCCCAGCUUGUAAGAUUAGCUUAAGAUUACGAGCCCAGUCUACAAAGUUGCUUCCAUCAUCUUUCGACUUAGCUUUCUCUAGGAACGUAUUAAAAUUGAGGGUGACUGUCGCGUGAGCCAUGAUCUACAACACAAAUAUAUGCAAAGUGGACUUAGACUAUGUUCAAGAUAAUUAGAGUUUAACUUAAUCAAAUUACUCGCUAAACUCCCACUCAAAAGUACAUCUCUCUAGCCAUUUGAGUGGUUCAUGAUCCACUUACACUAGCUCAAGUCCGAUCAUCACGUGAGUUGAGCAUAGUUUCAGUGGUAAGCAUCCCCAUGCUAAUCAUAUCAUCUAUAUGAUUCAUGAUCGACCUUUCGGUCUCAUGUGUUCCGAGGCCAUGUCUGCACAUGCUAGGCUCGUCAAGCUUAACCCGAGUGUUCCGCGUGCGCAACUGUUUUGCACCCGUUGUAUGUGAACGUUGAGUCUAUCACACCCGAUCAUCACGUGGUGUCUCGAAACGACGAACUGUAGCAACGGUGCACAGUCGGGGAGAACACAAUUUCGUCUUGAUAUUUUAGUGAGAGAUCACCUCAUAAUGCUACCGUCGUUCUAAGCAAAAUAAGGUGCAUAAAAGGAUUAACAUCACAUGCAAUUCAUAAGUGACAUGAUAUGGCCAUCAUCACGUGCUCCUUGAUCUCCAUCACCAAAGCAUCGGCACGAUCUUCUUGUCACCGGCGCCACACCAUGAUCUUCAUCAACGUGUCGCCAUCGGGGUUGUCGUGCUACUCAUGCUAUUACUACUAAAGCUACAUCCUAGCAAAAUAGUAAACGCAUCUGCAAGCACAAACGUUAGUUAUAAAGACAACCCUAUGGCUCCUGCCGGUUGCCGUACCAUCGACGUGCAAGUCGAUAUUAUCUAUUACAACAUGAUCAUCUCAUACAUCCAAUAUAUCACAUCACAUCAGUGGCCAUAUCACAUCACAAGCAUACCCUGCAAAACAAGUUAAACGUCCUCUAAUUUUGUUGUUGCAUGUUUUACGUGGUGACCAUGGGUAUCUAGUAGGAUCGCAUCUUACUUACGCAAACACCACAACGGAGAUAUAUGAGUUGCUAUUUAACCUCAUCCAAGGACCUCCUCGGUCAAAUCCGAUUCAACUAAAGUUGGAGAAACUGACACCCGCCAGUCAUCUUUGAGCAACGGAGUUACUCGUAGCGAUGAAACCAGUCUCUCGUAAGCGUACGAGUAAUGUCGGUCCAAGCCGCUUCGAUCCAACAAUACCGCGGAAUCAAGAAAAGACUAAGGAGGGCAGCAAAACGCACAUCACCGCCCACAAAAACUUUUGUGUUCUACUCGAGAAGACAUCUACGCAUGAACCUAGCUCAUGAUGCCAGUGUUGGGGAAUGUCGCAUGGGAAACAAAAAUUUUCCUACGCGCACGAAGACCUAUCAUGGUGAUGUCCAUCUGCGAGAGGGGAUGUGUGAUCUACGUACCCUUGUAGACCGUAUAGCAGAAGCGUUAGUGAACACGGUUGAUGUAGUGGAACGUCCUCACGUCCCUCGAUCCGCCCCGCGAACUAUCCCGCGAUCAGUCCCACGAUCUAGUGCCAAACGGACGGCACCUCCGCGUUCAGCACACGUACAACUCGACGAUGAUCUCGGCCUUCUUGAUCCAGCAAGAGAGACGGAGAGGUAGAAGAGUUCUCCGGCAGCGUGACGACGCUCCGGAGGUUGGUGAUGAUCUCGUCUCAGCAGGGCUCCGCUCGAGCUCCGCAAAAACGCGAUCUAGAGGUAAAACCGUGGAGAUAUGUGGUCGGGCUGCCGUGACAAAGUUGUCUCAAAUCAGCCCUAAAACCUCCGUAUAUAUAGGGCGAAGAGGGGGAGCCUUGCCUUGGGGUCCAAGGACCCCUAAGGGCUUCGGCCGAGCCAAGGGGGAAGGUCUCCCUCCCCAAACCGAGUCCUACUUGGUUUGGAAGGUGGAGUCCUUCUUCCCUUUCCCACCUCCUCCUUUUUUUCUCUUUGAUUUUUUCUUCCAAUGCGCAUAGGGCUCUUUUGGGCUGUCCCACCAGCCCACUAAGGGCUGGUGCACCACCCUCAAUGCCUAUGGGCUUCCCCGGGGUGGGUUGCCCCCCGGUGAACUCCCGGAACCCAUUCGUCAUUCCCGGUAGAUUCCCGGUAACUCCGAAAACCUUCCGGUAAUCAAAUGAGGUCAUCCUAUAUAUCAAUCUUCAUUUCCGGACCAUUCUGGAAACCCUCGUGACGUCCGUGAUCUCAUCCGGGACUCCGAACAACAUUCGGUAACCAACCAUAUAACUCAAAUACGCAUAAAACAACGUCGAACCUUAAGUGUGCAGACCCUGCGGGUUCGAGAACUAUGUAGACAUGACCCGAGAGACUCCUCGGUCAAUAUCCAAUAGCGGGACCUGGAUGCCCAUAUUGGAUCCUACAUAUUCUGCGAAGAUCUUAUCGUUUGAACCUCAGUGCCAAGGAUUCAUAUAAUCCCGUAUGUCAUUCCCUUUGUCCUUCGGUAUGUUACUUGCCCGAGAUUCGAUCGUCAGUAUCCGCAUACCUAUUUCAAUCUCGUUUACCGGUAAGUCUCUUUACUCGUUCCGUAAUACAAGAUCCCGCAACUUACACUAAGUCACAUUGCUUGCAAGGCUUGUGUGUGAUGUUGUAUUACCGAGUGGGCCCCGAGAUACCUCUCCGUCACACGGAGUGACAAAUCCCAGUCUCGAUCCAUACUAACUCAACGAAGACCUUCGGAGAUACCUGUAGAGCAUCUUUAUAGUCACCCAGUUACGUUGCGACGUUUGAUACACACAAAGUAUUCCUCCGGUGUUAGUGAGUUAUAUGAUCUCAUGGUCAUAGGAACAAAUACUUGACACGCAGAAAACAGUAGCAAUAAAAUGACACGAUCAACAUGCUACGUCUAUUAGUUUGGGUCUAGUCCAUCACGUGAUUCUCCUAAUGACGUGAUCCAGUUAUCAAGCAACAACACCUUGUUUAUAAUCAGAAGACACUGACUAUCGUUGAUCAACUGACUAGCCAACUAGAGGCUUGCUAAGGACAGUGUUUUGUCUAUGUAUCCACACAUGUAUAUAAGUCUUCAUUCAAUACAAUUAUAGCAUGGAUAAUAAACGAUUAUCUUGAUACAGGAAUUAUAAUAAUAACUAUAUUUAUUAUUGCCUCUAGGACAUAAUUCCAACACCUUUUUUUCUGAGCGCUAGUCACUAGCCCAAGGAAGGAUCGGGUACGGAAUGACGAUAUACGAGAGAGACUUGGGGUAGCACCGAUUGAAGAGAAGCUGGUCCAACAUCGUCUCAGAUGGUUUGGACAUAUUCAAUGGAGGCCAUCGGAAGUGCCGGUGCAUAGCGGACGGAUAAAGCGUGUUGAGAAUGUUAAGAGGGGUCGUGGUAGACCAAACUUGACAUGGAAGGAGUCCGUUAAGAGAGACCUGAAGGUUUGGAAUAUCGACAAAGACUUAGCCAUGGACAGGGGUGCGUGGAAGUUAGCUAUCCACGUUCCAGAGCCAUGACUUGAUUUCGAGAUCUUAUGGGUUUCAACUCUAGCCUACCCCAACUUGUUUGGGACUGAAAGGCUUGGUUGUUGUUGUUGUUUUGUUGCUAGUCGCUAGCCCAAAGAAUAGCGUUAUAAUCUAGUCCAGUCAAUGUCAAGUAUCAGGUGGUUCAAUAAAAAUGUGAAGUAUCAGGUUGAGUUUAGCGUUAUGGUGGAUUAUGACAAUCCCGUUUGCCAAUCUUUUCUAAGUGCUUGGGUGACCUGUUUUUGCAUACCUUGGUGGCUAAUUUUUCACAUUUUUUACAAAAUAAGAAAAACGCAACACAGUUCGACAACCGCAAACUGAGCUUAGUAGUACAUAACUUGUCUGGUUCCACCAAAUUAGAUUUUCGUUUUCUCUCGAUUAAUUGAGCAUUUUGAUACAGUGCAUAUUUUACCAAAUACCGUGCCUUUUAUUCAUGUAUUAAAGAUUGUAUCAAAGAAAGUGAGACGAGGACAAAGAACCUGAAAUUAUCUCACUUUUUAGGCACCGGUUUGGGCAUAUAUACAUGCUUGGCACCUUGCUCAUGCCCUUAUGAACAGCGAGAUUGAUAAUAGAUCAGCAUUCUGCAUUCAUCGUUACAACUUACUCCCUUUGUCAACUAAUAUAAAAACGUUUAGGCCCUGUUUGAAACCAUAAUAGAUUAUGAUAAUCUGGAUUAUGAAGAUAGAUUAUAUAAUCUGGUUUAUAAAAAUAAUCUAAAUGGACAUGUUUGGAGGCCAGAUUAUAUAAACUGCAAUCCAGGUUUUACAUUGCAUAAUGACCUGUCUGUCCUCUGUUUUUAAAAGAAAGGAGGGUGGCGGUGGUAGGAAUGUAAUUACCUCCAACUUUACAAGGGUAAUGGGUCAUUAGCAAUCCAUAAUCUGAUUUUAGCUAGUGUAGAGUAGAUUAUGAGUUUUUAAUAAUCUGUCCAUCUAGUUUUUGUAAUCUACAUCAUAAUCUGUCCUGUUUGAAGACAAAAUAGAUUAUAAAAACUGGAUUAUAUAAUCUGGAUGGUUCUAAACAGGGCCUCAGAUCACUACUUUGAUGAUCUAAACGCUUUUAUAUUAGUUGACAAAGGGAGUACAAGUUAUGGUAUAGUGCUCCCAGCCUUAGGUCAGGUAAAUGUGCAGUAGACCAGCAUUAAUCGGUACACCAGUAUAUUAUUUUACUAUGGCGCAACCGAAUAUACAUAUAUAUGAUAAUUCCUCAAAACAACAGUGACGAAAAUAGUGUAAAAAGAGAAGAAUGUCAUCGAAUAUUCAUUUCUGAGCCUAGGCUCAUCGGCUUUCUGCGGAAUGGUAAUACCGGGGAAAAUGCUGGAAUGUAUAAUCGUUCAUCGCGGUCCACAGCUGCAUUGGCAGCAAAGACAAGGUGGACAAAUGGGCCCGGCUUCUGCAAAAAACACACACAACUUGGUUAUAGGUUACUACUCCCUCUGCACCUAAAUUACUGUAGUUGAAGAAAACUAGACUAGUUCUCCCAACUACUAUUAUUUAGGUAUAGAGAAAAUACAACUCUACAUGUAUAUCUGGUAAUAAAAGGAACCACGUUACCCAUCUUCACUAUAAUGGCCUUAACUUCUAGCAAAGCAUAGGACAUCCAAUCAAAUUACUUUGUAAUGAAUUUUAACUCCAUGUUAGUUAAUUUUGGCCUCACAGACUUGUAUUUGUAAUUUUUAUAUAAAAUAUGUCUUAGAACAUUUUGUUCUACGGUUAGAGGUUUCAAAAAAAAACUCCAUGUUAGUUCUAGAGGCUGGGGGUGUGCCCUCCUUUUCGAAUAAUAAUAAUAACAAUAAUAAUAAGGGUUUCUACUAUAUUAAACCUAAGGUGAUCUACUCCUGAUGGCUCAUCAGAGUGUAUCAGGUGAAAAUGAGAACAUUCCUGGAAUCAAACUAAUAGUCAGGAUAUCAUGAGAUGCAGGGAGAUUAUUUGUCCUGGUAGUUCCCGCAAAAAGAACAAAUAGUAAAACUAAAAGUAGACAUUGCCUUAUUAAAAAACUCCAUUUCUGUGAAUAAAACUGGUAUCAACCUGCUCUAAAGAAAGCUACAGAUUUCACUUAGUAGAUUCGCAAGGCAGAGUACAUACGUGAUGAAGAUGCCGCACGGUUCAGGAAAACGAGCAGAAUGAUCCCAGUUGUAACAACUCGAAGAACCAAGAGGUACCACCAAGCCAUUGUGAGGCAAAUGAAGGCAGCUGCAUUCACUAUGGUUGGUUCUUAUGCUUCGUCUUCGUCUAAAUAAAGGAUCUGUACCGGUAAUACAGAAAACAUGCAACAACUAAACAAGAACUUUCAGUAACUUUGACUGGAAAGACAGUGAUGUUUUUUAUAAGACGGCAAAGUAAACAGAGAAAAUUUUGUCAAAGGUGAACAAGAAUCUUUGACCGGACCAUGUUGAAUGGGAAAUGGUAUUCCGAUGGCAGCGGCGUGCGUGCGUGCUCCUAUUUUUCUGCAUCAACUACUUGUUACGCAAAGCAGCACACGACGUUUUACGGAAACUUCUAAGUUUAAUAUGGUCACAUUAGUCACUGUCUACUAACGAAGUUGGACAGGUUCUUCUCCCGAAACUUUCAAAACAUCAUUGCCCCUAAUUUUCUUGUUCAGGGACAUUGACAAACCUCACAUUAGUUACGGUCUACUAACAAAGUUGGACAUGUUCCUCUCCUAGAACUUUCAGAAACGUCUUUGUCCCCAGCUGUCCUAUUCAGGGACAGAUAAACUUAUACGACUUGCAAACCUCGCAUUAGUUAUGAUCUACUAACAAUGUUGGAUAGGUUUUUCUCGCAGAACUUUCAUAAAGUUCAUUGCCCGGAAAUUGUCCUGUUCAGAGGGUUAGAAACUUAUAUGACUUAUUACUACAAACUAACAAAUCUUAUAGUCCAAGUUAAUAUUAUUCAAUUUUUGACAUACAUCCAAUGUGGACAUGUAUUGACUAACAAACUGGUACUCUUCCACCGAGGAAACUCCAACCAUAGUUCCAGAAGUUUAUAAACGGCACGUUGCAAAGUUUCAGUUCUGAACCAAAACUAGACUUGCAUGCACCAAGAACAAUCAGCUAAAGACUAGUGAAUAGUGACCUGACCUCUACAACCCAGCAACAUACCUCUAUAAAAAGCAAAUUAUUGCUCUUCCAGAAUCAGAUCAGCCCAAAAUUCACGGUUUCAUAUCAACCAGAUGGGUUGGGCAGUGGUGUUGGCCAUCCUCAUCUCAUCGGUUUUGCAUCCCUUGUUGCUGACAACUUUAGCUGAUGAAUCCGACAACAACCGAGACGCUUUGCUCUGCCUCAAGUCUCGCCUCUCCAUCACCACAUGGAACACCACCUCACCAGAUUUCUGCAGUUGGCGUGGUGUCUCGUGCACAAGGCAGCCACAACUACCAGUAGUGGUGGCCUUGGACUUGGAGGCACAAGGCCUCACCGGCGAAAUCCCACCCUGCAUGUCCAACCUCACCUCGCUGGUGCGAAUCCACUUGCCGAGCAACCAGCUCUCCGGUCAUCUCCCACCAGAGAUUGGCCGGCUCACUGGACUCCAGUACCUCAACCUCAGCUCCAACGCGCUCAGCGGAGAGAUCCCGCAAUCACUGUCGUUAUGCUCUAGCCUUGAGGUCGUGGCACUGAGAAGCAACUCCAUUGAAGGUGUGAUCCCGUUGAGCCUCGGUACGCUCCGCAACCUUUCCUCUCUAGACUUGUCCAGCAAUGAACUUUCUGGUGAGAUUCCACCUCUACUCGGGAGCUCACCGGCUUUGGAGUCUGUCAGUCUCACCAACAACUUUCUCAAUGGAGAAAUCCCGCUGUUUUUGGCAAAUUGUACCUCACUUCGCUACCUUUCUCUACAAAACAACAGUCUUGCUGGGGCCAUACCGGCAGCUCUUUUCAACAGCUUAACCAUCACAGAAAUACAUAUUUCGAUGAACAAUCUUUCUGGGUCAAUUCCACUUUUCACAAACUUCCCUUCAAAGCUCGACUACCUCGAUUUAACAGGGAACAGCCUAACCGGAACUGUGCCGCCCUCAGUAGGAAAUCUCACACGGCUUACCGGUCUGUUAAUUGCGCAAAACCAGUUGCAGGGAAACAUUCCGGAUCUAUCCAAGCUAUCAGACCUGCAAUUCCUUGACCUCUCAUACAACAAUCUAUCAGGGAUAGUGCCACCAUCUAUUUACAAUUUACCUUUGCUGAGAUUCCUUGGGUUGGCCAACAAUAAUCUUCGAGGAACACUUCCUUCUGAUAUGGGGAACACUCUUUCUAACAUCAAUUCAUUGAUCAUGUCUAACAAUCAUUUUGAGGGUGAGAUUCCGGCAUCGCUAGCCAAUGCCUCCAGCAUGGAGUUCCUGUAUCUCGGCAACAAUUCGCUGAGCGGGGUGGUUCCUUCCUUCGGCUCCAUGUCGAAUUUGCAGGUUGUAAUGCUGCACUCAAAUCAGCUAGAAGCUGGAGACUGGACAUUCUUGUCAUCCUUAGCAAAUUGUACAGAGCUGCAAAAGCUGAACUUGGGUGGAAACAAACUAAGCGGUAAUUUGCCGGCUGGUUCUGUAGCAACCCUGCCGAAAAGGAUGAAUGGCUUGACUCUGCAGUCAAACUACAUAUCUGGCACCAUUCCCUUGGAGAUUGGGAACCUGUCUGAAAUUUCCCUACUUUACCUUGAUAACAAUCUUUUCACAGGGCCUAUACCUUCUACUCUUGGCCAGCUAAGCAAUUUGUUUAUUCUUGACCUAUCCUGGAACAAGUUCUCUGGAGAAAUUCCACCUUCCAUGGGUAACUUGAAUCAGCUGACGGAAUUUUAUUUACAAGAAAAUGAAUUAACUGGAAGCAUACCCACAAGUUUAGCUGGCUGCAAGAAAUUGGUGGCACUAAACCUUUCCAGCAAUGGCCUCAAUGGGAGCAUCAACGGGCCCAUGUUUAGCAAGUUGUAUCAGCUGAGUUGGUUACUUGACAUAUCACAUAACCAGUUCAGAGACUCCAUACCUCCAGAAAUUGGUAGCUUGAUAAACCUUGGUUCCUUGAACCUUUCGCACAACAAACUCACAGGUAAAAUUCCAUCCACACUUGGUGCAUGUGUCCGGUUGGAAUCACUGAACUUAGGCGGGAACCACCUAGAAGGAAGCAUUCCACAAUCACUGGCAAACCUGAAGGGUGUCAAAGCAUUAGAUUUCUCCCAAAACAAUUUAUCCGGUACAAUACCAAAAUUCCUUGAGACAUUCACUUCACUGCAGUACCUAAAUAUGUCCUUUAACAACUUUGAGGGGCCAGUUCCAAUAGGUGGAGUCUUUGACAACACAAGUGGUGUUUCUUUCCAAGGAAAUGCACUUCUUUGUUCAAAUGCUCAAGUCAAUGAUUUACCCAGGUGCUCCACCUCGGCAUCUCAGAGAAAGCGCAAGUUCAUUGUUCCAUUGUUGGCAGCUCUGUCAGCUGUUGUUGCAUUGGCCUUGAUCUUAGGGCUGGUUUUCCUGGUUUUCCAUAUUUUGAGAAAGAAGAGGGAGAGAUCAAGUCAGUCUAUUGACCACACAUAUACAGAGUUUAAAAGGCUAACAUACAAUGAUGUAAGCAAAGCAACGAAUGGCUUCUCUCCAACCAAUAUAGUUGGUUCUGGGCAAUUCGGGAUAGUGUAUAAAGGUCAGUUGGAUGGAAAAGACAGCUCGGUUGCUGUUAAAGUAUUCAAACUUAAUCAGUAUGGUGCAUUGGAUAGCUUUAUUGCUGAGUGCAAAGCUUUGCGGAACAUCCGGCACCGAAAUCUCGUGAGUGUCAUAACUGCAUGCUCAACUUACGAUCUGAUGGGGAAUGAGUUCAAAGCUCUGGUCUUCCAAUAUAUGGCAAAUGGUAGCCUUGAGAAUCGACUUCAUGCUAAGCUCCAGAACAAUGCUGAUUUGAGUUUGGGAACAGUGAUAUGCAUAGCAGUAGACAUUGCGUCUGCUCUGGAAUACCUUCAUAACCAAUGCACCCCACCAGUGGUUCACUGUGAUUUGAAGCCAAGCAAUAUACUCUUUGACGAUGAUGAUACUUCGUAUGUCUGUGAUUUUGGGCUAGCAAGGUUAAUUCAUGGUUAUUCAUCUGAAGCUCAGAGCAGCUCAACAAGCAUAGCUGGACCAGGGGGGACUAUUGGAUACAUCGCUCCUGGUGGGUAACUAAAACUAGCCUGAAUUACUAUUUUACUUUUGAUUAUAGUGCUUGUCAUAACUUUUUGUUUCCAAUCGCUGCAGAGUAUGGCAUGGGCAGUCAAAUCUCAACUGAGGGCGAUGUCUAUAGUUACGGAAUUAUACUUUUAGAAAUGCUAACAGGGAAAAGACCUACGGAUGAAACAUUCGGUAAUGGCCUUACACUCCAGAAGUACGUAGAUGCAUCACUUUCAGAAAUUGAACGCGUUCUUCGCCCCAGUCUUAUGCCAAAAAUUGGAGAUCAACCUACUAUUACCCCCAAAAUAGAAGAAUACAGGGCAACUACAGUGAUGCAUAUCUGUGCUCUGCAACUCGUUAAACUUGGGUUGUUAUGCUCCGUCGAGUCACCAAAAGAUCGCCCAAGCAUGCAUGAAAUUUACAGCGAAGUAAUUGCUGUAAAAGAAGCAUUUUUCUCAAUGAACAGUUGAGAGAUACACUACACGCCUAGAACAGUUUUGAUAUACUGCACAUAGAUUUAUGUCGCAAAUAUUUCCGUUUAUUUGGAUUGUUUUCUUCAUUCUAAAGGCCAGGUACCAAAUUGCUGAAUCUUUUUAUGUAAAUUUCACUAUGCAUUGAUGUUAAAGGCCCGAGCUAUUCUGUCAAUUUGAACUUUUCUUCAGAGAUAAAAGGCCGGUAGCUCUGUUUUCCUAUUGCUUUCAUCAAUGCCAAAGCAACUUGGCCUCCCCGCACAAAUGUGUGGGGCGGACAAUAAUCAAUAUUUACAGCUGAAAUCUCUGCAUUGGUGUUGGAAGUUGCUUCUUUUCUAACCAGAAGUCUCUCAAUUUGCCUCACUGCUAAAUAGCCGAAACACUAGCUAACAUUCCUGUAUGAUGUGUCAAGUUUGGAGCACCCAGUAGGCCAGUACUGGUACUAGUAGUAUUGGUGGUGGCUGCAACGAAGCCCAAUCUCUAGGGACUGCGACUACAAGUCCGAUUAAUCCUGGUUAAAUCAAGUUUGAAGCAAAAACUGUACAAGAUCGAUACGGUAAUUUUGGUAUUUGACACGGAAAUAACAGGACUAGAAAAGAAAUAGCAAACCCUAGGUGCUCACUUUGGCCUCAAUCGGGAAUGGGGCUGCCCUGCACGUCGUGACGAUGGCCGUCGGCCGCGCAAGGCGGAAGGUGGCCGCUGGACGUCGACCUUCGCCGGCGUGGUCUUGGCGCUCCGCGGCAGCUUCCUGCUCUUACUUGUUGUCCCGCGGCCUGUUCCCUGACUCGACUUCCUCCUCUAGUACUAGUACUUGAGAGGCGCAUAGUUAGAAAGAACAAGACCAAUCCCGAUUAGACUAGCAUGUUGUCAUUUUUUAUAAACGAAAACUCUAUGAAAAUCAAAUGUUAUAGGCGAGAAUCGAACAUUCCUGGGCUGGCUGCAAACUCCCGCGCCAAAUCAACUGAGCUACGUCACUCUCUGAGAGGCGCAUAGUUGCAGACGAGACGACAAACAAGAAAGCUUAUUUUGGAUUUUGGACUUGCUUUUCCUUUCUUAUUUUCUAUUUUUUUGAACACAAAAGAAUAUUCACGUCUGUUCCGUGGUAAACCGAAACGAAGACAAAAUAUUAAUGACUAGAUUCAUUUUCUUCGAACAAAAAUGGGAGUAAUUUGAUAACACCCGAACGUCAAGUAUGAACACAUGGCAAAUCAAACGUUUACAAUGACAAAUGUAGUUGGUGCAAGAAUUGUAAAAUUAGUUAGCAAACAUGACAAUUUUGUGUAAAGAAUUACCAUGUGCGUUAAUUAAAGUCAUCAUCCUCAAGUCAACUAAGGUUUAUCCAUAAGGUUAGGUACUUACCAUUUUCGAAAAGAAAACAGAAUAAUUUCUUGCGGAGGAACAGGAACAAGAACGGCUUUAUUUUUAAAGGAGUAGUACUCACGAAAGAUAACUUGCUCAGGGCAUGUAACUGUAGAUGUUAUUUUUGUAUCAACAAUGAAUCUAUCAAAUAUCUCUUUCUCGAAGGUUCAUUGGCUAGACUUUUAUGACGUACUAUUCAUAUAGCUUUCAAUAUAACCCUUCAUUGAUUAUGAACACGUUAUUUGGGACGUGGCUUAAUGGAGUGGAAGUUAACAAAGCUAAACAUAUUUGGAUAGGAGUAUGUGCAAUGCUAUGGGCUAUAUAGAAGAGUAGGAAUGAUAUGAUUUUUAAUAGGAAAAACUUUACUAAUUUGUUGCAAGUCAUAGAUAGAGCAAUUACUUUAAUUCGUAUGUGGUCGUUACUCAUGUCUGCGGAGUCUAUUGAGCGUUUGGUUGCUGGGUGCAACAGGUGAGAAACGGCAGCGCAGGCUAUCUUCAACCGACAUGGAUGACGACAAACUAAGGGCUAGGUGUAUACUCAUCGUAGUAGUCUGUGUUGAUAUGGCCAAAUGUGGCAUGUAAUUUCCGUUUAUUUCGAGCCUUCGUGCUCUAGCUGAAUCUUGCACUUUGUUUGAACUCACGUGCUUAAAUAAAAUGGCUGCAUGGCCGGCGGCUAUUUUCCUUUUCAAAAAAUAAAAUAAAUUUGGUUGCCUACGUGAGUUGUUGUGUGAGGCCUAAUCCAGCGCGCAACAGUGAACAGUUUGUGGCCGGCACUGACGCUAAUAUCAGCCUCCGUGUACCCGUCCAUGAGAAGGCCGGUGAAGCUCCUGCGAAAGGAGUCAGCUCGCCCCAUUGACUCGCUGCAUAUGCGUUGCGAUUCUGGCGUCCUACCUCAGCCUCAGCCUCAGCCUCCGUGUUUUCUCCUUUCGAGGAAUCGAUGCCCGCUGGUCACCACGAGUGGACGUCUCCUGAUCAAAGUCAACCCACAAGUUAAGCUAAGCUAAUCCAAGCUAGGUAGUAGCACUAAAAGGAAAAGGUUGCCCCAUGCUUGCACGCUAAUGGCCUGCAGCACAGCACAACACGAUUUUUGAGAUGAAAACUGUAGGGGAGCAGCACGUACAAUCCGUGUACUGAUAGGCUCUGGCUGUAGUAACACGAGCAUGGCAGAGCGUGCCAGCCAUGUUAGAGCAUCUCUAACGAUCCCGCAAAAGUAGUCAAACUCUUAAACUUUUAGGUUUUAUAAUUUUUAAUCUAAAAAAGUGUUCAGAACAAAAACGUAAAAUGGUUCAAUCCGUAAAAUUUUUCAUGGGCAUGAAAAAGUAAUAUACGAAAUCCUUAUAUUUGAAGAUUGGAAGGCCGAACCGAGGGGACCCCGUAUACCGGUCAAACCUCGUCGGAGCAAACACGACGCCGUGGAGUUUAUCGGAAUCCGUCCUAAACUCGUCAGAAUUCAUCACCGGACACCGAAAAAGGCUGCUAGACGCUGCAAUCGAUCGCGGCCAGUUCGAAUUGGACGAGCUCGACCUUCUUUCAUCUCAUCUACAAAUUACUAAUUUAGUGUGUACUUGUCUAUCCUUCUGUGAGGGGAUGACGGAAUAUAUAUGGAGUUUGGGUGUAACUGACCGAAGAUGAAUGCAAGGGCUUUCUUCAACCUGAUAGAAUAGCGAUCCAACAGCAGAAUUGGUGAUUGAGUUGUUUCUCUUCUUACUGCCUAAUUAUUUUUGAGCAUCCUUUAAGUAACACUUAAAUUUUCAAGUGAUAAAGCGUUUUUAUUGAAAAAUAAUUUUGAACGUGUUGCUCCAACUUGUAUUCUUUAUACUUUAUACGGCUUUCUUGAUGUUGCUUACUUAAACAUAAUAAAAAUGCCAGGUAACCAUUUUUGCAAAUGACAGUCAAGAUACGGAUUGUUCCUCUCGAUGCGGAUUGUUCCUCUUCCUCCUUGCAACAACGUGAAUUCCUCCUGCCAUAGCCCAAUCACCCGGCCGGUCUCAACAUCAGAACGCUGCAGCGUACUCUUUCCCCUGAAAUCUACCGAUCCAAAUUCGUUUUAUCAGCAACUAAUGAUAAACAGAAUAUGCAUUUUUAAAGGUAAACGUUCAAAGUUUCGGAAUUGUUGUUUGUAUGCCAAUCCAUCGGCUAGGGGCACGGAGACCGAUAAAAAGAUGAGAUCGAGGUCUUCCCAAGCAAAGACUACUAGUAGCAUCUUUGCCCCCAACUGCAGCAAACUCGAUCGCAGCGCACGCGUUCCUCGAUCGCGUACACAUGCGACGACAUGCCGCUCGGUGCUACUCGCCUACAAUUUCAUGCGUGUGUGUCAUGUCGCCAGAUCCACGAAUGCCGGUUAAUUAAGCUCCAAGCCAGGCCGCGCUUUUGCAUGCAUGCCCCGCCCCUUUCCUUCGUCCAUUCGCAUUAUGUAUGUACUUGGAGAAAAGUUUAGCAAGUCAGAUGACUGCGCUGGCACACCGUAUUGUACUUACUGCCAUGGUUUAGCGAGGGCACACGCUACUGUACUUGUUUGACAUUUUGACGAAUUAUUAAAAAUGUUGGAUUGAUAUAUUAUUACUAGACUCAAUUAAUUUAGAAUGCCGCUAGAGGAAGUACUCUAUAGGUGCUAGCUAAUGUGCUUUGUCACAAUGGAGUACAUUUUUUUGCGGGGUUUGUCACAGUGCUAAUUACCACUACAUUUGUCCUGGUUUACUAUUUCCCUCGUAUUUUGAAUUAUAUUUUUACCAUGACUUUAAUUAGUAAAAUAGGUAAUCAAAAUAAUAUCACUGAAAACUACCUUCCAAAUACGAAUCCAACAAUAUAAUUUUUGGAGCAUGCAUUAAUAUUUUGCUAGUCAAAUAUAUCACUUAAUUUUUGGAGCAUGCAUAAAUAUUUUCCUAGUCAAAUAUAUCACUUAAUUUUUGGAGCAUGCAUAAAUAUUUUCCUAGUCAAAUAUUUUGCCUCCAUGGCUCCAUCACUUAAGCCAUCCAUUGUUCACUUUCAUGUUUGUGUACACUGGUGGUAUCCACAGUGAGGAGCAUCGACAAUAGCUUGAGAUGGUGUUUGGAUACGUUUGAGUCCCAUGACUAAAAGUAAUGAGACUAAAACUUGCUAGCCUCACCCAUGCUUGGAUCCAAGUACUAAAGAGACUAAAAUCAAGUUAAUGAGCAUUUAUUAUCCUCCAAACCCUCCAAUCCAGAACUUGCAUGAGGAGUUAAAUGAGGAGAGAGAGGACUAAUGCACAUUUUAGUAGGGGUACCCCUGACUAAAAGAUUUUAGCCUCAAGACUAGUUUUAGCCUCUCUUUAGUCAGGGGUGCUUGGAACUUUAGCUUCUCAAAGAGACUAGUUUUAGUCAGACUAGUUUUAGUCUCUUGGAUCCAAGCACCCUCUGAGAUGAUUUGUACAUCACCGGGCUCACGGUCCAUGUCUCUAGUAGAGGGGGAGUGAUAGGGGCAAGGGUAGAGAAACAAACUUAUUGACUACGGUAACAUGGCGGCGGCGUCCACUCCAUCAAGGCCGUUGGCUAGUUUUUGCCACCAGGAGACCCAUUGCCGCCUCUACUCGUGCCACUGUCUUUGCCUAUUCUAGGGGGCAUUGAUCUCUUCGAUGCCCCUUGAUAUGUCGGGUAGAACAAUGUGUUGAAGGCUAAUCGAGAGGGAUUUAUGCGCACUGAGCUUAGGAGGAAGUAGACCUAGACAAGGAUGGCCCGGCCCGACAGGCCGGACCCGAAGCCCGAUGUCCGGGCCGGACUCGACACCUUCCAGCCCGAAGCCUGGUGAAAAAUGAUUUUAAGGAUUUUAUAUAAAUACAUGGAUAGUAUAAUAUAGUAUAACUAAUCCUCAAAAAUGUUACAUUGCUAUUUUAAAACACAGAAACCAUGCGUUUUUGGCGUUGUAGGCCAGNNNNNNNNNNNNNNNNNNNNNNNNNNNNNNNNNNNNNNNNNNNNNNNNNNNNNNNNNNNNNNNNNNNNNNNNNNNNNNNNNNNNNNNNNNNNNNNNNNNNCUAGCGACGGGCGCGCGCGGGAGACGGUGGCUGCGGCGAGGAACGGCGGCGAGCAAGGCGGCGCGGGGUGCACACGGGAGAACGAGGUCGGAGGGGAUCGGGCAUGGGAAACAGGAUGACGGCGCGGGGGAAAGACGAGGAAGGACCGGGACGAGGGGCUGAGGAGGGUGUCGCUAGGGUUGGACAGGCAGCUGGGCCUUGGGCCGGCUGGGCCGCUCCUCUUCUCCCUCUUGCCUUGGUGUUUUUUCCUAUUUUUAAAGCAGGAAAACUCAAACAAAAAAGGGUUUCAACAACAAUAAAAGAAAUAUUUUUACUCCUUUAAAACAAACCCCAACUAUAAAAUAGAUUGGGCCUCUUUUUUAAAAGAAAUAAAAUGAAACCCUUUUUAAAGAAUAAAAUAAAACCCUUUUAACAAGAGAAUAAAAUAAACUCCUUUUAUCAAUAAAAUGAGACUCUAGUUUUGAAAUAAAACAAAAGAAAAAAUAAAGGAAACCCAAGGGGUUGCCUCCACAUUUAAUAAAAGGGUUUUUAAAAGAAGACGAACCUAUUUAAAAUAGGGGUUAAAACGGAAACUUUAGCAAAACCACAAAAAUGAAAUAUGAGGGAGAGAAGGUUUUAGGUCCGCGGUGCAACAGGAUUUUAGGUGGCUCUCACGCACCCACUCUCAUCACUCCAACAAAACAACGCCACUCACAAAGCACUAACACCCAACAACACGAAGCACAAGCAACACCGAUAAAACACAGUUGACAUGAUGUCAUUCAUGAUGCGAUGAUACAAACUAAAUGAAGAGGCCACAAAAUAAAAUAACCACACGACGAAAACGGAAAUAAAGGGGAAUCUUCUGGGCGUCGGCAUCGGGCUGUCACACCCUUGCAACAGAAACAAGAAAAUCAUUAUGGCUUGCAUUGCACUCCACAAUUUUAUUAGACAAAGUCAAUUCGCCGAUAAAGAUUUCGACUUGUGUGAUCAAGAUGAAAAUUAUGUACCAUUGUCUAUGCCAACGACUACAACAAAUGAUUCAACAAAUGAGAUGGACAGUGCUGCUAUAAAUCAAUUCAGAGCUUGGGUCGCUGAUGGGUUGUGGUCCUUGAAACAACAAUGAUAUGAACAAGUGUUCUUCGCUUAUGUAAUUUGUGUUAUCUCGGUUGUUAUGUACUCUCUCUUAUUUUGAUUUUAUGAACAAGUGUUAAUUCGUUUGUAUGAACAAGUGUUAUUUUGGUUGUCACUAUUGUGUAAUUCGUUUGUAUGAACAAGGGUUAUUUAAACAAGUGUUUUAUUAUUAGGGGUAAUAUGGACUUAUAAGUCCCUGUAAACAAACAGGUAGGGACUCGGGACUUAUAAAUCCCUGUAAACAAACAGGUAGGAAAUCGGGACUUAUAAGUCUGUGUAAACAAACAGGUACAGACUCGGGACUUAUAAGUUGGGACUUAAAAAAGUCCUAUGACUUACGAAACAAAUAGGGCCUUAGCCACACCAGCGCCACACUUACUCACAUUAAGAAAACAUACUCUCUCUGUCUCAAAAUAACUGUCUUAACUUUGUACUAACUCUAAUAUAAAUUUAUACUAAGUUUAAAACACUUAUUUUGAAACGGAGAGAGUAGCUUUUUAACGGGAAAUGACAACUCGCUGUUUAAGGACAUCAGUUCCAACGCAUAUUCUUUGGUACAUGUGUUUCAUUUGACCAAUUAGAAGCUUGUACAUACAAGGGAUGGUCCGUGAAUCGCAGCUCUUCCAUUUUGUUGAACCUGCGCGGUCGUAGUUGGACGGCUUGAAAUUGGAUUGGACACCAUUGCAAACGAACCGUACGUCUUUGGAUGUCUCGAGCACCCUGUUAAUCUCCAUUCAUGGAGUGAAUUGCAAGAAAUCACCACACUUGGGGCAUCCUUUGCGAAAAACAAUGGGGUUCUUAAUAUUUUGCAAAACGCACCGUUGUUUGGAUGAUUAAAACCCGUUUGAUCACUUUCUAACAAGUGGGACCUGGUUGUAAGGAGCUGACUCAGCAAACAAUUAACACAUACACCCCUAUAUCGGAAAAAGAAAAGCAAUCAACCUAUUCACACGUGCCGGCGGAGGCAAGCCGCACGACCCCACCGUCCGGCCUUCGGUGCCGCCGUCCCUCCCGACAAUCAGCAGGCGACUCCCCUACCUCUACUCCGCCCGAUGUCGGCGAGCAGCAGCAGCUCCACCGUGUCUGUCCUGUGUCGUCCGAACCACGAGCAGCAGCAGCUCCACUAGCUAUGGCACGAGUGUACACCGCGUCGCCCUACCCAACCUCCGGCGACGCAACCAUCGGGAGCAACAGCUCUACCGCGUGUGGAGGACGGGGCUGCUUCAUCGGCGUCUAGGUGAGACGUGUGGUGGUCCUCGGUGUGGAUGUGCAACCUCCUAGCGCCGCCCCACACAUGUCCCUCUUCGUCGUCGUUCCUGUUCGUCGAUGCACGACCUCAGCGGCGCCCCAACGGCGCACCUAAGCAUUAACAGGCGAGGUCGGGAUCAGGGUCUCCCUCCUCCCGCAGCCCCGACGAGCGCGGCGGGGCGACUCCCCUAAGGCGUAGGGGCGAGCAGGUGAAGAGAAACAACGGCAAGGCCGACAGAGCUUCGGCAGCACAACGGUAGGGCCGGAGCCAUGAGCUCGUGGCUAGGGCGAGCCACCGGCCAGCUGCGACGGCCAGGGAGGUGGGAGGCCGCACCAUCCCGUUAGCAAGACUAGGGGGAGGGAGAUCAUCUCGCCGGAGGCCACCUCAAGGUGGCCCGCCACCAUCUCGGAGGAGGCAGGCGACGCGGGUGGGAGGGGGCUAGUUGCUUUUUCAUUUUCUGAAUAUGGACGUCUUUGUGAAAUCCAGGGAGUAGUGUAUAUCAUUUUUUAUCAAAUCAUCUCCUUACAAUCUCACCCCACUUCUCAGAAAGUGAUCAACCAGGCUAAAUCACCUGGUUAGUGAAAUUUGCAAAAAAAAUGUUGUGAAUCUACUAUGUGUUUUACAAAAAACGAAGGACCACGUAGUUUUCCACAAACGAAGCCACAAAUGUGGUGGUUUCUCAUGCAAUUCACUCGCAUUGAUGUAUGUGUUCAACACUGAAAUGGUUGAUGCCAAACAAAAUGAUCAGAUUUUAUUAAACUGGAUAGGAUUGAAUCCUCGGCACAAGAACAAUUUCUUGUUUGUGCAUCCCACGGCUAGGAAGGCAGAUGACAGGGUCUAGAACUUAAUUACUCCCUUCCUUCCUAAAUAUAAACAUAAGUCUUUUUAAGGAUUCUAAUAUGGACUACAUAUGAAGUAAAAUGAAUGAAUCUAUAUAUUAAAAUAUGUCAAUAUAAAUUCGUAUGUAGUUUAUACUAAAAAUUUAAAGAAGACUUAUGUUUUUGUAUAUGAAAAAACUUUCGUGUUAAUAGAGAGAAAUUUGACCCGAACAAAUAUAAGUUUUAUUAUUUUUCUAUUUUACGAUUGUGAAAUCUCCCCUAAUAAUAAAGUGCGCAAUGCUUCUGUCGCCCGUCGUCGGUCAUUUUGCAGAAAAGCCCUCACAGUUUCAGUUAAUUAACCCGCAGUCCAACUUUAAGUCAGAACGAACCUAACCGUUUUUUGCAUUUUAUAGAAAACUCCCUGAUGUUUCAGGUAAUCAACCCGCCGUCCCUAUUUAAGUCAACCGAAACUUUUUUGUUUUAACAAAAAAAACCUGACUUUUCAGUUAAUCAAUCCAUAUUUUAUCUAAAACAAAAUUAUCCAUAUCUUUUAAACCGUAACUCCGAUUUUAACAUGUUAUAUAUGAAUUUUGAUUGAAAAAAUGUGUAGAAUCUAAAUAGGAUGUUAUUUUUAGCUGUUAAAUACUUCUUAAAUAUUAUUUUUGAUUCAAACUUAAUCUGUAGUGCACGGUCUUUUUUCUCUCUUUCCGACGACCAUACGAAUUUGCAAUAAAUAUUCAUUAAAUUAAAACCAAAUUGAGAGGAAAGAAAACAUCGUUAAUCACACAUGCACACCUUUGGAAAAUCUCGUGGGAAGAAACAACAUAUUUCUCAUCUUAUUCCGAGUGAUUGUACAUUCAAACGCGUUUUCGUUGUGUGAGCACUGAGGUCAUUGUCGACAACACAAAUGUUAUGCCAUGUGAAAAUAUAUUACGUUUAAAGCGUGUGUUAUUUUCUCUUCCGUUGCAACGCACGAGUUUUUUAUAUUAUAUAACUAUAAAGAUUUGGGAUUUUUGUUGGGAAGUUCCGUGACAAUAUUGUACGUACUAAUUUUCUCUUUGGGCAAGUGGCUCCAUAUCUCUUAAAAACCACGCGGAGAACGAGCAGCGGAUCUUCAGCAGCAAGAUUGUACUUCCACACGUUGGACUUUUCUUUCUCUUGGACUGUUCAUACAGAUACGGAUACGGAUUCUCACUAACUCAUUGGUCUUGGACAGUUCGUACGGAGGAAAAAGUCCAAUUUCAACCUUUAAUAUGUGAACCAUUUUAUAAAAUCUCUCAAAAAUAGAAAACGUGAUUUUUUUCAAAAUCGGAACAUUUUUCAAAUUCGAAAAUAUUUUUGGAUGCGCGAACAUUUUUCUUGUAGUUGUGGAGUGAUGCAUGCAUUUGUUCUUAUAGUUGUGAGUAUAUUAAGACUGUAGCUUAAGCUCUACCUGGUCAGCAUUUUUUAAAUUUGUUAAUAUUUUUCAAAAAUGACGAACCUUUUUUCAAAUAUUUCUUACAGUGUGUUGGGACAAAUCCGGUCAGGCGAUGAACGUCGAAUAGCCUACAGGUACGCAUAAUACACACCAUGACAACCCACACAUACACGUACAUCCACACGUAAUAUACAAUAAAUAUUUCGACUACAUACAAUGAACUCUAUAUAAUAUAAGUGAAAAUAAACAGGAACAAAAAAGAAAAAAGAAAUCAAAAAUAAAAAGUAUAAAAUAUAAAUUGAAACAGAAAUAAAUUCGUGAACUUUUUUCUCACUUUUUUAAUUCCGUAAAUAUUGUGAUGUUCCAUAGCGAGAUGGGCCUGACUGGUCUGGGCCAGUCUUUUUCGCGCGUGCGCAGCUCAAUCCCGGUCAAGUCAGCAAUCCUAGUUUGUCAAAAGAAUCCAGGGUUCUUUUAGACAAGGAUUACAUAGUUUAGGGUGCAAUCGACAGGGAUUUCGAGUUGAAGGUUCAUUUCGUCGAACCUCUACAAAUUCAGGGUUUAAAAUGAACUUUUUCCUUCAUACGGAUACGGAUUCUCACUAACCACAGGCUACAUCGGUACAGCUCCUGGACCGGCUGCUUGUUAAGCUGGGGAUAAUGGGGCGAUCAGAUUGGUGAGAGCAUCUUCAUAUUAUGUUCCCAAAUCUUCCCUCGUUGUCUGCAUGGGGGAAAUAUUAAUACAAGAAACAUUCAAGAAAAAAAUCAACGGAGAAAUAAUAGCUCCUCACUGCGCAGUGCGUACAAAAAAACCAUCCUUGUGCUAAUAAUAUGCCUAUAUAUAGACCGAACUAGCAACGUGCAAGCUCAAAACUAACAGCAAGCAACCAUGGCUUUUUAUGACCAACAAUUCAAGAUUCUCGAGGUACCUCCAAUCGUGCAAGAGCUUGUGGGCGCCGGCGUGAAGGAGCCACCGAGCCAGUACGUGCUUCCCGAGCAAUACCGUCCCGCUGCGGCGGCGGUCUCCGAGAUGCCCGAGCCCAUCCCCAUCAUCGACCUCAGCCGGCUCUCUGCCGGCAGCGCCGAGGAGUUCGACAAGCUGCGGUCCGCGUUGGAGAACUGGAACCUCUUCCUGGUAAUUAAACUUCUUUUCCCAUUUUCAUUUCGGUUGUGUGAUGAAGUGGUCAUCUCGAUCUCAUCUCCGGCCGAUCUUUCUCCAGGCUGUUGGACAUGGAAUGGAGCCUAGCUUUCUUGCCGAGGCGAUGAAGGCCACCAGAGAGUUUUUCAACCUCCCAAUAGAAGAGAAACAAAAGUACUCGAACAUUGUCGACGGCGAGAAGAUGAGCAUGGAUGGAUACGGUAAUGACAUGGUCGUAAAAGAGAAUCAGGUCCUUGACUGGAACGACCGGCUUAAUCUCCUCGUGGAACCUGAAUCCCUAAGAACCUACAGACUCUGGCCAACGCAACCCCUUCUUUCAGGUACUUAUUUACCGUCUAGCUGUAGGUUUUUACAGUCUAUAUACGGUACGCAUGCUGCUGCAGGCUCUGCUAUCAUGCAUGCCCUAUUUUUAAGCUGAUACGUCAGUAGUCUGGCAGUUGAUGAUUACUACUCCACAAUUGUGCAGAGACGUCCUGUCUGAAUACACGGUCAGGUGCAAAGCGGCGACCAACAUUGUCCUUCGAAACAUGGCCAAGAUGCUCAAUUUACAAGAGGAACACCUCGUAAACAUGAUCGGCGACAACUCCAUCACCCUAGCUAUAUUCAACUACUACCCUCAGUGUCCAAGGCCAGACCACGUCUUGGGCCUCAAGGCCCACACCGACGGCUCAAUAAUCACCAUCAACUUCGCCGAUGCCGAGGGGCUCCAGCUUGAGAACAACGGCGUCUGGUACAACGUGCCCAUUGUUCCAAAUGCAUUGGUUAUGAACAUAGGAGAUAUAAUGGAGGUACUUGUGUCUACAGCCAGCUACAUGUAUAAUAGUUUGACCUUGUUUUGUGGAUUGUCAAGCUGAGAUAUAAUACAUCUCUCUAUUUCAUCCUUAUGCAUGCAGAUUUUGAGCAAUGGGGUUUUCAAGAGCCUGGUGCAUAGGGUUGUCACCAACGCGGAGAAAGAGCGCUUGUCGGUGGUGCUGGUUUAUACGUUGGAGCUAGAGACACAACUUGAGCCGGUGUCAGAGCUAGUGGAUGACAAGAGACCUGCACGAUACAUGAAGAUCAAGCUCAACGACUACAUGGAAAAAUUCCUUGACACUUAUGCCACUGGGACACUAGCCAUCGACGGCGUGAAGAUCCGAAUAUGAUUCCGUUGUAUGCAAAAGCUCGCUGAGUAAGAUCUAUGAUGAAGUAUCUUCCGUUGACCAGUUUUAACGAGUUUAUAUUUUCACAUAUUUUCAAGAUUUUGUGUGUGUACUCCUCAUGUAAAAUGUUGGGCAGCUUGUGUGGCCGCAUUAAACCCUAAUAUAAAACGUAUCCGCUGUGGGCAACGUACGGAUGCAAAGGAUGGAAUAAAACUUAUCGAUUGUGUGCAACAUGCGGAUGCAAGGAUAGUUUUUCCUGUUAGUAUGUAUCAUUGAUAAGUACCAUUGUGCCUCCGUUUCAAGAAAUUAAGAGACCAUUGUGCCAUGAAAAAUGUGGGUUAACAGUCAGAAUUUCAUGUGUAUCUUUCCUGAAAAAUAGACACCCACUACUAUAGAGUGUGACAUAAAUAGACACCCACUACUAUAGAGUGUGACAUGUCAAUAGCUUCUCGUCGGUGAUUACGAUGUUAGCAUUAACUAGUCACACUACUAGGAAAAACCUUAUAGGAAGGACAUGAGUAGUAGCGCUAGAAAAAGAAAACGCUGCUGCUAAUUAGCAGUAGCGCUGAGCCAGCUGCAUACACCUUAGCAGUAGCGCUGCUAAUUAAAAAGGCGCUACUACUAUGUGGAACCAGACGAUGCCACUGACGGUAGCUGUAGUAGCAGCGUUGCCCAAAAUCCAGCGCUACUACUAAGUAUUUAGCGGUAGCGCUUUGUUUUGCAGCAUCGCUGCUGCUAGUUGGCUCCACUUAGUCGUAGCGCUCGAUGGUGUGCAGUGCUACUACUAAUAGAAUAGCAGCAGCGCUCUCUGUUAUCCAGCGCUACUGCUAGUUGCGGCUGCCCACCYCCUCCCCCCCCCCUCCCCUCCCCACNNNNNNNNNNNNNNNNNNNNNNNNNNNNNNNNNNNNNNNNNNNNNNNNNNNNNNNNNNNNNNNNNNNNNNNNNNNNNNNNNNNNNNNNNNNNNNNNNNNNAGGCCUCCGGUCCCGGCCCCGCCCUCGCCGGCCACCACCCCGCCUGCCUGUCCCCAGCCACUUCACCGUCGUAGGCCCUGGCAUCUUCCCUGCUUCCCCACCGGUCUCUGCUCCCAGUCGCCCCCGCCGGUCCUGGCCCCAUUGCCCCCGCCGUCCACGGCCUCGUCAUCCCCUGCUGCAGCUCCAGUGAGCACGUGCAUAGUGGAUGGUGGCAAGGCAGCUAGGCAUGCUGGAUCUCGGGCUGCUACACCAACCCUCCUCUCUUGUAAUUUUCUACGAAGCACCGAUACUUCAGAAAUUUGUGUAUCGCCGUUCAGUACUUCACCGAUAUUCCGAUACUUCAGAUACGCCUUCGAUACGGGUAUCCCCGAAGUAUCGUCAUUUCCAAUUUAAAAGAAAUGGCGAUACGCGUAUCCUCAAAGUAUCGCCAUUGUGUAUUGCCCAUGCCUUGAUGUAUCGUUGAUCUGUUCAUAUACAUAGUGCACGUGGAUUGUACUAAUGUAGUAGUUGGAUAAAAGUGCUUGUUAAGAAUGUUACUUGUGCAAUUCAUUAUUUGACCCACUCGUGCAAUCCAAAGUUGCUCUUUAUAUAUGUUUGUCAUUUGACAAUCUCAAGUUUUUAAUUUUAAAAGAUUUAUUAAUUUUAUAUUAUCGUGUUAAUAGAUAUUACAGUCUAAAUUGUAUUGUGACAGUCUAUGAUCAAUUGGUCGUAUUAUUCAUUGAUGAUAGUGAGAUUUUAAAAUGAGAAACAAUAAGGUAUGAAAGUAAUUAGGCAAUCAGUGGAUCGGUAUUUUGUUAUCAUCUCAUACAUUUAUUUAUGUUAGUUUUUAUUGCAUGUUAUUUUAUCAUUAUUUAUAUAUGCCUGCCGUAUCGCCGAAUUACUGUUUUUAGAAAUUGUCAUAUCCCGUAUCGCCGUAUCAGUGUCGCCGUAUUGGUGCUUAGUAGGUAAUUUUUAGAUCAACGUGUCCUGUAGUUUGUUCAUGUGUAAUAAGUUAGUUUUGCCUUGUAUCAGAAAGUGAUGAUGUAAUCGGUGUAAAUAGAGUAAUUUUGUAUUGUGAAAUUUAUUCAUUUGUUGUUGAUUCUUGAACGAAGUGUUGAUCGAUACUAUGUUCUUCUUCGUCGUCAGUUCGUGGCCGCCUCUACAAUUGGUUAUUGGUUCAUAAUGUUCUAAUAAAAAAUACUUUGAUGUCUUAUUCUCUGAGGCUGACUGCAAAGACAAUAUUGAGGCUGAUGACAAAGAGUUGACAUCGUCCGUUAGCGUGCGGUUCUGUUAGACUGCCUUUUUUGUCGUCUACUUUGUAACAAAUGAUGGCAAACCAUUUUCAGCAAAAAAAAUUCGUCUACCCGAUCGAAUACUGACGGCAAAAUACCUCUUUGCGGGUGAUAAGACCUCGAUGACGCCUAGAGGGGGGUGAAUAGGCUAUUUAAAAACUUCUUCGGAUUUGGCUUGAAACUAAUGCGGAAAUAAACUAAGAGGGUACUUGUCAAGCACAAAUCCUAAAUGCACUAGGCACUACAACGUGUAUCAACAACACGAUCUACCAAGAUGGACACAAUACAGUUACUAACAAGCACAAGUAAGUUACACAAACUUACUUGAGCUAUAUCACCCGACAAGUAGGUGAAUAACACAAGAUACUAGAUCACACUAUAUCACACGAUAUAUCAAGGGCUGCAAGUAUGAACGUGUGGAUAUAGAGGGUAUGCUUGAAUGAUUAAUCUUGUACAAGAAAUAGCCCAUACAAUAUAAUGAGCACAAACAAUAUGCAAUGUAUGUAUGCUCAUGUAACACAAGUAAACCACAAGUAAGGAGUUAGGGUUAAGGAUAACCAAGGUCACUGAGACGAAGAUGUAUCCCGAUGUUCACUUCCUUGAAGGGAAGCUAGUCACCGUUAGAGAGGUGGAUGUUACCACGAAGGCACACCAAUGCCACGAAGGCUCACCCUAUUCUCCCUUUGAGAUAACACCACGAAGGCGUUUCUCAACCACUAGUCGUAAGCCUUUGAGGUGGCUUCCAAACCCUCACAAACUUUUUCGGGGAGUAAUCACACGGAUUGAUUCCUCUCCGAAGGACUCCUACCGCCUAGGAGUCUCCAACCUCCAAGAGUAAUAAGAUCACGGGGAAUGCUCAAAACUUGCUCAAAUCUCAAAUAGCUUGGGUUGAGAGGAGGAGAGGGAGACGAUCUAUCUUUUGAUUGGAACAACUCUCAAAGGGGCUCACAAAUGCUCUUGGGAUCUAAGAUUUGGUGUGAGAAAAUGUGUGUGAGGUAGAAGUGUGUUCUUAUGAGGAUAAGGUUGUGUUGGGAUACCCUCUCACGAAGUGGGAGGGGGUAUUUAUAGUGGGGAGAGAAAACAACCGUUGGGGACACUUUAAGUCACAUAGGGUCCGGACGUCCGAUAGUUUCCGGAAGUCUGGGCGACCGCGAGGGGUCGGACGUCCGACAGGGGUCGGUCAUCCGAGGCCUGUAGAUAUCACUGAAAAUACUGUGAAUUGAACAGCGACCGGACGUCCGGAGAAGGCCGGAAAUCCGAGUUAUUCGACUCAACUUCUUCUGGUGCAAGGUUCCGGAUUUUCGAGGCUGGUCGGACGUCCGGCUCUCGGAUGUCCGGAGGGAGCCGGAAAUCCGAGUUAUAUGACUCAAAUACUUCUGUUGGAGGGCUCCGGAUUUCCGAAGCUGGUCGGUCGUCCGACCCUUGACCGGCCCUCGGACGUCCGGAGGGAGCCGGAAGUCCGAGUUAUAUGGCUCAAGUUUCUCUCGUGCAUAGUUCCGGAAUUCCGAAGCUGGUCGGAUAUCCGGGACUCGGACGUCCGGAGGGAGCCGGAAGUCUGAGUUAUAUGGCUCUGAUUUCUUUGGUAUAGGAUUCCGGAUUUCUGAAGCAAUCGGUCGUCCGGCCCUCGGACGUCUGGAGGAAGCCGGAUGUCCGAGGCACUGGUUCUGUUUUCAGAUAACAGCAGAGCAGUGGAGAUGUGGUCUGAGCAAAAUAGUGGAGAUGUAGUUUGAGCAAGUUCAUCGCAAAACCUGUGAUCCCCUCUUAAUAGUGCGGGAUCCCUAAAGACUCAAGAAUCAUAAAAGGGGUACUGAUGACCCAUGCUUGAGUGUAUACUUUUAUUCACUGAUCAUCACUCCGCACAACUAACGUCACAGGAACUGAUACCUUUGGGUUAGCCCUUUCACUUGAGCUUGAUGUUGUUGUUCCUUCUUGGCUCAAGUUGAAAGCAAGACAUGAUAAAUUCUUCAAGUAGCUCUCCCAUACACGAUGUGGAAAGCCUAGCUUAUGUAUUCAUCUUCAUUUGUCCACCAUGUGAACAUCCACAAGAAUCAAGCAUGUAGUGCUCAGGAAUGCUUAUCUUGAUCUUGUCCUUGUUAGCACAUGAGCUUGUCCUUAUCAACACAUGAUCAUNNNNNNNNNNNNNNNNNNNNNNNNNNNNNNNNNNNNNNNNNNNNNNNNNNNNNNNNNNNNNNNNNNNNNNNNNNNNNNNNNNNNNNNNNNNNNNNNNNNNAUGGGAAACAAAAAUUUUCCUACGCGCACGAAGACCUAUCAUGGUGAUGUCCAUCUACGAGAGGGGAUGUGUGAUCUACGUACCCUUGUAGACCGUACAGCAGAAGCGUGAGUGAACAUGGUUGAUGUAGUGGAAAGUCCUCACGUCCCUCGAUCCGCCCCGCGAACCGUCCCGCGAUCAGUCCCACGAUCUAGUGCCGAACGGACAACACCUCCGCGUUCAGCACACGUACAGCUCGACGAUGAUCUCGGCCUUCUUGAUCUAGCAAGAGAGAGGGAAAGGUAGAAGAGUUCUCCGGCAGCGUGACGGCGCUCCGGAGGUUGGUGAUGAUCUUGUCUCAGCAGGGCUCCGCCCGAGCUCCGCAGAAACGCGAUCUAGAGGUAAAACCGUGGAGAUAUGUGGUCGGGCUGCCGUGGCAAAGUUGUCUCAAAUCAGCCCUAAAACCCCACUAUAUAUAGGAGGGAGGGAGGGGAGGAGGCAGCCUCAAAACCUAAAGGUUUGGCCGAAAUUGGAGGUGGAGGAGUCCUACUCCAAUCCUACUUGGAGUAGGAUUCCACCUUCCCACUUGGAAACUCUUUCCACCUUGUGUUUUUCCUUCUCAAACCUUAUGGGCCUUAGUGGGAACUUAUUCCAGCCCACUAGGGGCUGGUUUAUCUCUUCCCAUAGCCCAUGAGACCCCUUGGGGCGUGACACCCCUCCUGAUGGUCCCCGGCACCCCUCCGGCACUCCCAGUAUACUACCGAUGAGCCCGAAACUUUUCCGGUAAUGCACGAAAACCUUCCGGUAACCAAAUGAGGUCAUCCUAUAUAUCAAUCUUCGUUUCCGGACCAUUCCGGAAACCCUCGUGACCUCCGUGAUCUCAUCCGGGACUCCGAACAACAUUUGGUAACCAACCAUACAACUCAAAUACGCAUAAAAAACGUCGAACCUUAAGUGUGCAGACCCUGCGGGUUCGAGAACUAUGUAGACAUGACCCGAGAGACUCCUCGGUCAAUAUCCAAUAGCAGGACCUGGAUGCCCAUAUUGGAUCCUACAUAUUCUACGAAGAUCUUAUCGUUUGAACCUCAGUACCAAGGAUUCAUAUAAUCCCGUAUGUCAUUCCCUUUGUCCUUCGAUAUGUUACUUGCCCGAGAUUCGAUCGUCAGUAUCCGCAUACCUAUUUCAAUCUCGUUUACCGGCAAGUCUCUUUACUCGUUCCGUAAUACAAGAUCCCGUAACUUACACUAAGUCACAUUGCUUGCAAGGCUUGUGUGUGAUGUUGUAUUACCGAGUGGGCCCCGAGAUACCUCUCCGUCACACGGAGUGACAAAUCCCAGUCUCGAUCCAUACUAACUCAACGAACACCUUCGGAGAUACCUGUAGAGCAUCUUUAUAGUCACCCAGUUACGUUGCGACAUUUGAUACACACAAAGCAUUCCUCCGGUGUCCGUGAGUUAUAUGAUCUCAUGGUCAUAGGAACAAAUACUUGACACGCAGAAAACAGUAGCAACAAAAUGACACGAUCAACAUGCUACGUCUAUUAGUUUGGGUCUAGUCCAUCACAUGAUUCUCCUAAUGAUGUGAUCCCGUUAUCAAGUGACAACACUUGCCUAUGGCCAGGAAACCUUGACCAUCUUUGAUCAACGAGCUAGUCAACUAGAGGCUUACUAGGGACAGUGUUUUGUCUAUGUAUCCACACAAGUAUUGUGUUUCCUAUCAAUACAAUUAUAGCAUGGAUAAUAAACGAUUAUCAUGAACUAAGAAAUAUAAUAGUAACUAAUUUAUUAUUGCCUCUAGGGCAUAUUUCCAACAGCCAGGCCCGUCGACUGUCGAGUACAACGUCCAGCGCCUCCCGGAAGAUCAGGUGGGAGCUGCCUAGGGGGCCAUGGUGCAGGCGGAGCUGAUGGCGGGAGAGGCCAAGAAAGCGUACGACUCCAUCGCGUCCGUGUACAAGCGAAGCUUGGAACUACGGGACGAUAUCCCAGUAAGUGGGCUAGUAAGUAUUUACCUUCCUCUUGUAACCCAGUGGGUGUUUGAGCAAUGCACUCGGAUAUUGUAUGAUUAUUUUGCAGUGGGUUCACUCUUAGUGAACCCACUGGGUGUACUCCCCGAGACCGCUGUCGACUGCUUGUGUCGGCAGGGGUCUGAAGAACUUAGAAAUUUUAUUGUUGUCCUUGUUGAAUUUGUCUGAUCGUCUCUUGGCGCUGACUUGUAGAAAACUUGCGAGAUGGGAGCAGCGUACGAGACUCUGAGGGCUGAAAAGGUUCAGUUUGCUGGGGAACUGGAUGCAGCAAUGGUUGCCUUGGCUGGUAUGAAGGAUGUUCUGGCUGAACGAGAAAAGUCCUUGGAGGAGGCCCGUGAGGCAAACAAGGCAUUGGCGGCUGAAGUGGAAAAAUGGGGAAACAAAGGACCGAGCUGAUGGGACAGAUGAAAGUGUUGAACAGGCGGUGCAUAGCACAGGAAAAUUACGUUAGUGACUGGGCCCGGAAGAUGAUAGCGCUUCUCGGUGGUAAGUUCUGUUUUUCCGAGUGCUUGUGGACUGUGCAUUUCAUUCUGUGCUUACUGUUUGCUCGCCCUGUCUUUGCAGAUUUUUGAAUGGACGUUGAGGCUGAGGCAGCUGACGUUGAGCGGUCGAUUCUUCUGAACGUUCCACUCGGCGAGGACGCCAAUCAAGAUAUGCUCCGAGCGCACAUUCGCGUGGGCAAGGUGGGGCCUUUCAUCGGUCGACUGAGAGAGGUCGUCAGCUGAAUCGACAAGGAGCUUUGGCCAGAAGACGAGUCUCGGCAGGAGAUGGAAGGCUUGAUGACUCGGCUAGAGGAGGUCCCGAACCGAGUGCAGGCGUGAAAGAAGUCUGCGGCUCGCUGUGGUGCGGACAUCGCUCUGUCGCUGGUGCGAGUGCACUGCAAGGAGGCUCGCGAAGAGAAGCUGAAGGCGUUGCAGGUCGCCAACACGAAAAGCUUCGAUUCGAAGACUUCAUGGAGACCUUCCUUGAGAGCGCCACUCGCAUCGUCGACGGGAUCAACCUUGACACAUUCAUGGAGCCUGCCAGUCCUAGUGCCAGUCCUGACGACGUUUAAGAAAACUUUUACCUCGGUAUGCCGAGUGUUGGUUGUAAGAAACUUUGGCCACUGCUGUUGGCCGUCACAUUCGUGGUUUGGUGUGGAUAAGCUUGAUCUACACCGAGCCAACUAUCCUUAGGCGAACUUUGAAUUUGAAUCGAAUCUUUGUCUCUUCUUUUGCCAAAGAGUUGUUGAUACGAUUUUGGCUCGUGGUUUUGUUUGGCGUUUCUUGGUGAAACCAAUGGCAAACAUGUGGAGCAUGUAAUUGUCAGUUGUCUUGACAUCUGCAUGAGCCUCACUGAGGGUCUGCUGAGUCUCCGAGUGGAUCUGUAAGAUACACUCGAAGGCAAUUGAGUGCUUAGGCGAUUCGUGAUCGCGGCUAAGUCUUCGUGUGCGACUGUAAGGUCGUACUCGGAGCGAGUUGUUACUCAUGUAAUUGUCAGUGGUCUUGACAUCUACAUGAGCCUCAAUGAGGUUCUGCUACUCAUGUAAUUGGCAGUGGUCUUGACAUCUACAUGAGCCUGAAUGAGGGUCUGCUAAGCCUCCGAGAGGAUCUGUGAGAUACACUCGAAGGAAGCUUUCUAUUUAAGCGAUUCUUGAUCGCAGACAAGUCUUCGAGUGCGACGUUAAGUGCACACUCGGAGAAGGUGUGAAGUUAGGCGAUUCGUGAUCGCAGCUAAGUUUCCGUGAGUGCGAUGGUUAGUGCACACUCGGAGAAAGCUAAUACUUAGGCGAUUCUGGAUCGCAGCUAAGUUCCCGAGUGCGGACGUUAAGUKCACACUCAAGAAGUUAGUACUUAGGCGAUUCUGGAUCGCAGCGUCGCUAGNNNNNNNNNNNNNNNNNNNNNNNNNNNNNNNNNNNNNNNNNNNNNNNNNNNNNNNNNNNNNNNNNNNNNNNNNNNNNNNNNNNNNNNNNNNNNNNNNNNNGUCUUGGGACUUAAGGCCCAUACAGAUGGCUCGAUAAUCACAGUCAACUUCGCCGAUGCCGAGGGGCUCCAGCUUGAGAGAAACGGCGUGUGGUACAACGUGCCCAUUGUUCCAAAUGCAUUGGUUAUGAACAUAGGAGAUAUAAUGGAGGUACUGUGUCUACAGCCAGCUACAUGUAUAAUUGUUUGACCAUGUUCUGUGGAUUGUUAAGCUCAGAUUUAAUACAUCUCUCUAUUUUAUCCUUAUGCAUGCAGAUUUUGAGCAAUGGGUUUUCAAGAGCCUGGUGCAUAGGGUUGUCACCAACGCGGAGAAAGAGCGCUUGUCGUUGGUGCUGGUCUAUACGUUGGAGCUAGAGACACAACUUGAGCCGGUGUCAGAGCUGGUGGAUGACAAGAGACCUGCCCGAUACAUGAAGAUCAAGCUCAACGACUACAUGGAAAAUACCAUGACACUUAUGCCACUGGGACACUAGCCAUAGACGGCGUGAAGAUCUGAAUAUGAUUCCGAUGUAUGCAAGCUCGCUGAGUAAGAUCUAUGGUGAAGUAUCUUCCGUUGACCAGUUUGUAACGAGUUUACGUUUUUACCUAUUUCCCAGAUUUUUGUGUGUGUACUCCUCAUGUAAAAUGUUGGGCAGCUUGUGUGGUCGCAUUAAACCCUAAUAUAAAACUUAUCCGAUGUGSGCARCAUACGGAUGUAAAGGAUGGAAUAAAACUUAUCGAUUGUGUGCAACAUGGG
rnacentral:lncRNA from 1 species